GUUUACACUGAUCACCAACUUACAAUCAAAAUCAAAUCAUUCAACCUUCCAAAUGAUACAUCAUCCAUAAGAAUUCAAGCCUCGGUACCAUGUAGGUCAAGGAAUAUUGCGCCAUAGCACAAAUUAUCAGGCACCGGAAUGAGUAACUGCUGUGCUGUUCAUAUAACCAGCCCUGUCAUGGGUUUAUGGUGAAUAAGUAUGUAAAACAACCCGAGUUUUUGGCCAUUCAUAAAUCCUCUCCACUAAGAUCUCCCCAUCGAACAUUGUGCUUGGCAGCAAGAUAAUGUGCUCCAACUGGUCCUCGGCUACCAUAAGGAUAGAGCUCUAGAACAAUCUUCCAGUUCCUUCAGUAAUGGUGUAAACAACGCCCAGGCAGCAUCAAGCUCAUCACUCCGAAUAAACAACCUCCGUUCACCUUCUAUUGCAUCUAAGACCAGCCUCUCAUAUGCAUCUGGUAUUUCUGUUGGAUACCUUCACAUCAAAACUAAAGAAUUAAAGUAAUGCUCUCCAAAACCAGAAGAAGAACAAAAGAUAAUACAGAUGCACAUUUGCUCCAUCAAUUUGGCCAGGUCUGCAGAUGGAUGUUACUAAGGUAAAAUGGCCAGGACAUGAGAUUAAUACAGUCCCCUUACUUUUAAUAUUAAUUAGGAUUUUAUACAAAUUCUUUUAAAAUAAAACAUUAAAGAAUUCAAUCCUUACAUGAGCUAUAAAAUAAUUACGAAACAUGAAUAAAGACGUCCCAAGGCUUAUCGCUUGAGAAGAUUUUAUGAAAUUGAUGCUCACAGCCCCACUCCACAAUUGAGUAUUCUAGUUCAUAUAUUACAUAGUGAAGAUUGCAAGUAUCAUUUGUAGGUAACUGUCUAAAUAGUCCUUACCUUGAUCGAUAAAGCAAAUUAAGGUCGCUGCGAUCCAAUCUCAUUCCAAGACCAGGAACUUUGUUGUUGAUCUUCAGGUAUAUGGCUUCACCAGGCUGGAGCCGGAGCACAAGCUCAUUUGUAGCCUUGUCUAAGUCAGUUCCAAAAUUCCGCUUGUACAGUUUUCCAGGGACAUGUCUGAACUGAACUCUGAUCUCUGCACUGAAGUUUCAUUGACACAACAUUCUCAAGUCAACCAGUUAAGCAUAUUCUACAAUAUAUAGUGAAAGAAUAGAUCCUUAUGAAAAGGGAAGAAAUACUGCCUACCGUUUGGUAUGGAGCGCUUUGCCUGCUUUCAUCAGGAAAGGAACCCCAUCCCAUCUUGCAUUGUUGAUAAAAAGAGCAGCCGCGGCAAAUGUUGGCGUGAGACUACCCUUUGGCACAGUUGGGUCAUCAGUAUAUGCAGGAUAUGAUUUACUACCCUUGUUGUGGCCCUUGUAUUGACCAAUAAUUACAUUUUCAAGCAGAAGCAGUUGCAUUGAUCUAAGAACCUUCACCUGAAUGAAGCCACACACAACAAAGUUAAUGAUUAACUUAAAACAAUAGCAAGGAGUGUAGCAUUUCCAUAACCCACCAUGGGAUUUGAUUCUUCUUUGGUGGUGAUGGUGGUGUGUGGCUAUACCUUAAAAUAGGAUCUCUAGCAAUCAUAGAAAUGGUACACCAAGAAGAACAGGAGACCACAAUUCCGGUUCGUAAAAUUUGUAGAAGAAAGGAAGACCGAAUUACCUUUUCAUUUCUAAUGUCUUCCGCAUCUAAGCUGACGGGAGUCUCCAUUGCAAAUAAUGCCAGUAUUUACGAGAGAUGAUUUUGCAUUAUAUCUCGUAUGAUUCCAUAGUUAUCAAAAUAACUGGAAAAAUUUACCAAUAAAAUCAGCUGACCUGGGUGUCUGAAACAACUUCUAGUAUAAUAACAAUAUCUUCAGGCAACAUAUACAACUCACCCCCCUCGUCCCUCUGUACCAAAAUCUUCAGAAAAUAUAAAUUGUACAUUGCGGAUGUAAUUCCUGGACCAUAGAGGCUCGAAAACAAGAUUGGAGAAUCGAAGCACUAAUAGAUUCUCAACCAACUCCUUACCCAAGUAAUGGUCAAUCCUGAAAAGAUGUCAAUAGAGUCAAACAUCAUCACGCAUCUUUCUUUAAGGAAACAAAUGAGAGACAAACCUGAAUAUUUGAUCCUCUUUUAGAUACUGCUUCAAACUUCUAGUUAACUCGCCAUAAGACUCAGAGUCCCGACCAAAUGGUUUUUCAACAAUGACUCUUGUCCAACCAGUUGCUGAUGAAGCUCUAAGGCUAGCACAUUUCGCCACAUCCACAAAAAUGUUUGGAGGUAUUGAUAAGUAAAACAACCUGUUCGAUAGCUUUCCAGCCUAAAAUUCCAUUUUCUUACAUUGGGUUAAAAAAAUAAAACUAAAAUAAACAAACACCAAAUUUCACACAGGGAGCUAGUAACUAGCUUCCUAAAUAUGAAUCUAUUUUACAAUUAGUGAAACAAUAAGAAAUAUGUCAGUUACUUGGUCCAUUUGCGGAGCAGAACUCCUCACGAACCGAGUAAUAGUUUUUAUUUGGAUUCAAUACAUUUACCAGAGACUUACAUUUACUAACAAGAUUUUACCUACACCUUCUCUCUAUUACCCUCCUCCUAGAAUUAGGGAGUAUGGAAAACUUCACUGCAAUUAAAUAACCAUUUAAUAACCCAUGAUAUCAAAGGGGCACGGAAACAAAAUCCCACCAAUAGAUGGUUAAUGAAAUGUUCUGUUAGUUCAAGGAUCCUAUGGAAAGCUCCGAAAACCUCGGACGCGAAGGAAACCUCGGACGUGAAGGAAACCCUAUCUCCGGAGGUAUUUUUCCCCCGCCGUUUAGGGAGGCUAGAACGACUAAAAAAGCGAGGUUUCGCGAUGAGGAACAUGCUGGUGAUCCCACUGCCCAGGUAUCGUACAAAGAAACCCUAGUGAAUGCGACGCAAGUGAUGGAGCAAGGAGUUGGAGGUGGACUAGAUGACUGGGAUUUUGAGGAAGGGGACGUUACUGAAAGUAACGAGGGAUCCAUGCCAUCCAUUACUUUUUCGGCUAGGGUUCAUGCUAAGUUAAGUGAGCCUUGGAAGAACUCGGUUGUUGUAAAGUUGCUUGGCCGCACAAUUGGCUAUAGAGCCCUUUGUGCAAGAUUGAAUGACAUGUGGAAAUCAGCCAUGGGGUUUUCAGUGAUAGACUUAGAGAAUAACUAUUAUCUGGUUCGGUUUCGCUCGGUAGGGGAUGCUAUGGAUGCAUUAACCAAGGGGCCGUGGCUUGUCAUGGGUCACUAUUUAACGGUGCAGCCAUGGACGCCCUCCUUUGACUUCACAAACACGGCUCUUGAACAGGUCACGAUGUGGAUCAGAUUACCUGGCCUUGCUGUUCAUCUUUACGAUCGAAAAGUUCUUCAAAAGCUGGGUCAAUUAGUGGGGAACGUGAUUACAAUCGAUUCGAAUACAGCCUCUUCAUCUCGUGGAAGAUUUGCCCGCCUUGCAGUGAGUAUCUCUUUAACUAGGCCACUGGUGUCUCAGUUUGAGUUGGAUGGGAAGAUACAGAAGGUUGAAUAUGAGGGCUUGCCAGUAAUUUGUUAUAAGUGUGGACUUUACGGGCACAGUAGUAGUAAUUGCAAAGAUGCUAAGAACUCAACAAACUCUGAAGAAGCUGGUCAAUCCCAUCAGGCAAUGCCGGGAAACGAGGCUCCUGGCCAACAGGCUGAAGGUUGUAAUGGCGACAGCACUGUGGAACCAUUUGGUCCCUGGAUGAUGGCUCCUAGGAGAGGAAGAAAGCCUAAUAAUGGAAGGGUGAAUACUGGAGACUUAAAUCGGAAUAGGGAGUUUACUAGAGCUGGUACCUCAAGGUAUCACAUUCUAUCCCAAGUCCCGGAUGAAGGUGGACACCAAGUGCAGGAGGCUUGCACAGACUUCCCCUCCACCUCACGGCAGCCUUUCAUAUCCGCCUCAAACCCUACAUUUACAGCCAAAACAGAUAACACAGUACAUAUUUUAGCUCGUCGAAAGCUGCAAAAUAAGACCGUGGUAAUAAGGAAUCAGAGCAGAAAGCUAAAUGCUCCAGUGGUCCAUACUAGUAACCCUUUCCAGCCUAGUGAUUUAAGUAUCAGAGAUGAGGAUAUAACUCUCUUACCCCAUGCCAACCAAAAAUCCAAUUCACACAGUUUCCCCCAAAAAGUACCUAGCAACCAAUGUGUGGUUUCUUUCGAAUCCACCUUGGAUCCUACUAAACACACAGUGGUUUUUUGUUCUCCCCCAACACUCCUUAAUGGAGAUGUAAGGGAAGUGGCCACGGACCAUAUAGAGAGGCAGGGAUCGGAUCCGCAACCCUUAGCAGAUCCUCCUGAUAACCAUAACACUUCUCGGGUGAAGGAAGGUGGUCAUGUUUGUAACCAUCCAGAUGUUCCUAUGAGUGGUAUGGAUGGAGAUGGGAUGACUGAUGAUGAAAUUUCGAUGGUUCAGGAAACGCCGUUGGCAUUGAUGGAUGAUGUCUUUGGACAACAACAGUAGCCUCAUGUUUUCUCUUCUUAUAUUUUUUAUGACAGUCAGUAUUAUGUUCUGGAAUGUCCAAGGGGCAGCCUCGGGGGAAUUUAGGCGCUCGUUUAGGACUAUUAUUAAAAAUUACAACCCAUCGAUGGUGGUGUUAAUGGAACCUCGUACUAGUGGGGUGAAAGCCGAUGAAUUUAUAAAGAAAAAUGGAUUUGAUUACUCGCACCGGGUGGAAGCUGUGGGUUUCUCUGGAGGAAUUUGGCUACUUUGGCGAAGUUCUAUAGAGGUGGAGGUCUCAAUUAAUCACAGGCAGUUCAUCCAUUUUAAAAUUUGCAGGAACAAUGUUUUUGUGUCUUGGGUAACGACUGUCUAUGCCAGUCCAAACCCAAUGUUGCGGAGACAGCUGUGGUGCCAUAUGGAGAACCUUGCGCCUUUAAUUCAAGAGCCUUGGUUGAUAGGUGGGGAUUUCAACUCUAUCUUAUACGCCUCAGAAAAGCAAGGGGGUGUGGCCAGGAACUCAGGAGUGUGUAAUCUGUUUCGAAAGUGGUUUGAUGGGCAUCAACUUUUUGACUUGAAAUUUAAGGGUCCAAGGUUUACUUGGUCACGUGGAUUGCUUUUUAAAAGGCUUGAUAGAGCUUUGUGUAACAGUGAAUGGCUGCUUAAAUAUAUGAAUAAUUAUGUGCUCCAUCUCCCGAAGAUUGCCUCGGAUUACAGGCCGGUGCUGGUUCGGUUUGAGAGAGAUGUGGCUGGCCACCAGAGGACCAGGCCUUUCCGCUUCUUGGCUGCUUGGUUAACUCAUGAGCAUUUCAACAAUUUUGUUAAGCGGAUGUGGAAUCCGCAAACCUACUAUAGUGCAGCAGCUUCUCAUUUUGUUCAGGAGGUUCAAGUUUGGAAUCGAGAUGUGUUUGGGAAUAUCUUUCAGAGGAAACGCCGGCUUAUGGCUCGGAUUAAUGGAAUUCAAGCCACCCUAGAGAAAUAUAGCUCUCGUAGUUUGAGGCGAUUGGAGGCCCGAUUGCGUAAUUAGCUCGAAAUGGUGAUGAGCCAGGAGGAAAUUCUGUGGCUCCAGAAAUCUCGAAAGGAUUGGCUUUUACAUGGAGACAGAAAUACGAAUUUUUUCCAUAAAAAAACUAUUGCUCGAAGGCGGCGGAAUAGAAUCGAGGCUAUCCGAGACAGUUCGGGGAAUUGGCUGUAUGAUGAGGAAGAUAUAAAGAGGCAUGCAGUGGGGUAUUUUUCAGAAUUAUUUAAAAGAGAAAAUUCUAUUUAUCAGAACUACCAUGUGCCAAAUUUUUUUCCAGACUUGAGUUCUCAUGACGUUGAUGGUGCCGCAGCCCCAAUUUUGAGGGAGGAGAUUAAAAGUGCCGUUUUUAGUAUGAAGCCGCUGAAAGCUCCAGGUACGGAUGGGUUGCAUGCUAUUUUUUAUCAAUCCCAAUGGUAUGUUGUGGGUCCGUCGUUUUGCAGGUUUAUUGAUGAUAUUUUUACCACGGGCAAAGUGCCGCAAGAGAUAAAUACUACCCUCCUGGUUUUGAUUCCAAAAGAGGAGCACCCUACUAGCUUAAAGAUGUUUAGGCCCAUAAGCUUAUGCACAGUGGUUUACAAGACGGUGACUAAAAUUAUAGCCACUCGCUUGCAAUCGCUGCUGCCCAAUCUAAUAGGCCCCAAUUAGACAAGUUUUGUUCCAGGGAGACAUAUCGUAGAUAAUAUUGUUGUGGCUUAGGAAGUCGUUCACUCAAUGCGCAGAAAAACUGGCAGGAAAGGAUUUAUGGCCAUUAAGGUCGACUUAGAGAAGGCGUAUGACCGGCUUAAUUGGGAUUUCAUUUUUGAUACGCUUCAACAGACUGGUAUUCCAACUCAUUUAUCUAGACUUAUCAUGGAAUGCGUAACUUCAGCUAGUAUGAGUAUUUUGUGGAAUGGUGAGGUUACAAGGACCUUUACUCCAGGGAGAGGUAUUCGUCAGGGAGAUCCCCUCUCGCCUUAUCUUUUUGUUCUGUGUAUCGAGCGUUUGAGUCAUGGGAUAACCCAAGCGGUAAUGGAUGGGAGAUGGAGGCCUAUUAGGUUGGCCAAAUAUGGAACUCCCUUAACUCAUCUCUUUUUUGCAGAUGAUUUGCUUUUAUUUGUGGAAGCUUCAAUUGACCAAGCUUAUGUGGUUGAUGCUGUUCUGGAAAACUAUUGUAGGAGCUCUGAAGCAAAAAUAAAUAAGUUGAAAACCAAGGUGUUCUUCUCAAAAAAAUGUUGAUACUCGGGAUGCCAAUCUCAUAGGCUCUACUUUGGGUUUUUCGGCCACAAAUAAUUUGGGUGAUUAUCUUGGAAUGCCAUUAAUUCACACGCGGGUUAAUAAAUCCACGUAUCAGUCCAUCCUUGAUAAAGUGGAUAAGCGGCUUACUGGUUGGAAUGCGGCUCAUCUCUCUUUUGCUGGACGUGUCACCCUGGCUCAAUCAGUUCUGUAAGCAAUGCCUAUUUAUGCCAUGCAAACGACUUUUCUUCCUUCUCCAGUGAGGCAUAAAAUAGACAAAUCUUGUCGGCGAUUUAUUUGGGAUGGGAAUUCAAAGAGUCCUAAGAUGAGUAUGGUGGGGUGGAGCAAAAUCUGCAUGCCGAAACAAUAUGGAGGUCUGGGGUUCAAAAAAAUGGACGAGAUGAACCAGGUGCUGAUAAUGAAAUUGAGCUGGGAGAUUGUGUCCAACUCGGAUAAAUUGUGGGUGAAAGUUUUCUGUUCCAAAUAUGGAUUAAAUUCCAGCAAUUUACCGAUGUCCCUUCCAGAUAAACCGGGUUCUCAGAUUUGGAGAGCUAUUCGUAGCACGUGGUUAACAACAGUUCAGGGUGCUCGCUGGUCUGUUUGUGAUGGAAGUCGAGCUCGCUUUUGGAUAGAUUGUUGGGCUACGAAAUAUCUCUUGAUCAGCCUAGCUCUCCAGCCGAUUCCUCAAGAGCUUAUCAACACCACCGUGAGUGAGUUUACGAAUGGUCAGGGGGGAUGGAAUUGGUCGAGCUUUGAGCAUUUGCUGCCACAUUAUACUCUCAUGCAGAUCGCAUCAGUCAUGCCUCCGGGACUGCAUUUUGGGUCUGACAAAAUUUACUGGGGUCUGGAUCCGAGCGGCAUGUUUACGGUUCGUUCAGCUUAUGCAUCCCUUUGCUAUCAUCACUUGGCUGAUCAUGACAGAAUUUGGAAGCUUCCAUGGAGUUGGAAGGGGCCUCAAUCCAUCCGUCUUUUUCUGUGGCAGCUGAUGCAUGGGAAAUUAAAGACUCAUGUUGAGCUAGCUAGGCGCCAUAUCAAUGUUCCUGAGGGCUGUGAUAGAUGUGGGGGUGCGGUUGAAGAUAUUCUCCAUGCAUUGAGAGAUUGCUGCUGUAUUAAUCAGGUUUGGCGUAAGCUUGUCCCAAUGGCAACUCAUAACGCUUUCUUCAAUUCGAAUCUACGUGAAUGGAUUGCUGGGAACUUGCAGAACAAAUGAAAGAUUGCAUCUUCCCUCCCUUGGGAUUGUAUCUUUGGAGUGGUGGUUUGGAGGCUGUGGUUCUGGAGGAACCACUUCUCUUUUGCGGGGAAGUUGGUGGAUGGUGUAACAGUCUAUAUGGAUGCUAUGGCUAGAGCUAAUGAAAUUUACAAAGUUUAGAAUUCCGGUAUAAGUCAACAGCCGAGGAGAAAGGAGAUUUUUAUUCGUUGGAUGCCGCCGCCAUGGCCAUGGUGCAAAUUAAAUUCAGAUGGCUCUCGUAAAAAUGACGGGGAAGCAGGAGCAGGAGGUGUCAUUUGAGACUCAGUCGGUCAUUGGAUUUCCGAAUUUUGUAUGAGAAUUGGGGAGAGUUCAGUGCUUAUGGCUGAGCUUUGGAGGCUGUACCAGGGUCUAAUUCUGGCUUGGGAUGUAGGCAUAAAACGGCUGUUGGUGGAAGUGGAUAGUCUUUGUGUUACACAAAUAAUCUCUAAGCAGGUGGUCGUUCCUAAUGUGUUCCAUGCUUUAAUAGUAGCUGUCCAGGAAUUAUUAAGUAGAAAUUGGCAGAUUGCUAUCACCCAUAUCUAUCGAGAAGCUAACUCAGCUGCGGACUUCAUGGCUAAUAUGGCUCAUUCAGCUCCUCUUGGAUUGCAAGUGUUCUCUGACCCUCCUAUGGGUAUAUAUUCUAUCAUUUCGCAAGACUUGUUUGGGGUUACUCAACCCCGUUUUGUUUCUGUUUAGCUCGUUUUGACGAGCCCCCUCUCACCAAAAAAAAAAAAAUAACCAUUUAAUACCCCAUGAUAUCAAAGGGGCACGGAAACAAAAUCCCACCAAUAGAUGGUUAAUGAAAUGUUCCGUUAGUUCAAGGAUUCAAUGGCUCCACUGCUACCAAAAAUUGCGGGUGAAGUAAUUCAUGAAGGGAAAACUCUAAAUAAAGGGACUUUUAAUUUUAAUGAAGGAAAUGAGGAUUUAUUCAACUACACCAUUAAUCUGUGAGUUGAAUUAAGAGCAUUUUAUUAUACUUUAUUGUUAGAAAUUAAUAUUAAAGCCCUUUAAUCUGAUUCAUGCGUCAGAGGUUUCUUGCUGGCAAUAAUGCCAGGCCCCCGACAAUUUCUCCAUUACAAAACGAGAUCAGAGUCAUCAAUGGAUAGACGGCAAUUAACAUCGAUUAGCAGAGUACCAGUUUCCCACAAAUAUAAAUCUGCUUGUUGAAGCCAAAAUUUGAUAUCAACAUCUCUUGCCUUCCUUGUAAUAUUUUAUUGUAUCUCAAGGCUUAAGUAUCCGUUCACAAGGCUAAAAGAAAAAGAAAGUGAAGACGAUCCUGAAUUGCUUUGAUUCAUCAUGUUUCGUGGCUCUGAUACCAUAUUAGAAUUCGUAAUGAGAUGUUUGGAAACAAAGAAAAACAGAGAAAAUAAAAAGGAAACUUCUAGAUUUUAUUAACCAGAAUAUUCAAUACUAAUUAAGCUUACUUAGCUAAGCUUAUAUACAAUUAUUCUAACUAAUUAAACAACUUCAAACCAACUAAUAACAACUUCAGAUUUAGUUUAGCCAUUGAGCUCUUGCCACAUGUCAUUAAGUUACAUUCAAUUUUGACACAUCAGUCAGCUCUGUCCAGCAGCAACUAUAUCUUCAACAAGAAUCUAUGACUCCAAAGUUCCUAUAAAACUAUAAAUUUCUUAAAGGUAAAGAAGUAAUUAGUUACCUCUUUCUCUUUCAGUCUGCCGUCUAAUUCUGCAAAAUGCUCAUCAGAGCUGUACAGACCGGAAUGGUAAAAGCAUCUCUUCAAGAACUGAUCCAUUUUGUCUUCACAAUUUUCCCUGUAAGUUCCCUCAACUAUUACUAUAUACAAAACUCAGUGCAUAGUCUGCUAAAAAGUACAUGUGAGGGUUUCAGAAAAUUACAUACUUCUUAUCAAUUCUACAAGUUAAAGUUUUGCUAAUCACGUUCCUCAGCUCCUCAUCAGUCAAUUUAGUCCGAGCAUAACCAAACACUGUAAAAUCCUGCAUAAGGAUGAUAAAUGGAAGAAAAAAUGAAAACUUAUCAGCUAUUGAGCAUUCAUCACGGUUGUUGAAAAAGUGAAAUUAGUGAAGCAACAAAGCAUAGAACCUCAGGCAGACAAUCUUCAUAGUAUAGUGCGAAAAGUGCGGGAAAAAUCUUCUUCUUUACGAGGUCCCCUGAGGCUCCAACAACUGUUAUGCUGAGUGUAGAACCCGAUUUUUCAGAUGAUGCCGGAACGGAGGCCUCUGUCUCUUGAGGCUCGAAAUGAUCGUUUGGCCAGAGGUUUUCCAGCUAAAUCUAAACUCAAAAUUGCAGCUAGAAAUCAGCAAUGAGAAACAAAACUGAUAUGCUGAAGACAAAAUAUAAUCAUUGCAAAUAAUUAUGAUUAUAUCAAUGAGUGGACAAGUUGAUAAACUCUCUUUCCAAAAAGAAAUUUUCUUCAUAUGCAAAUUCAUUUGGCAAUUGUCGAAAACAGGAAAAAUCUUUUUUUUUGUUAAAUAAGAAAUUCAUUUUGGACACAGUUUAUGAAUAAGCAAUUGAAUGAGAAUUAAAACCCAUUUGAUACUGAUUCGGCGUAAAAGACUACAAUAGAGGAACCAGUAUCUCACUAUCUUGUAAAGAAACAGUAUUGAGAGGAUGCCCAUUAGAGGAUUUAAGCUGAAAAUGCUUUCUAGCAUGGAUUCUUGACUGAACUUGAGAUACCCAAGUGGAGAAAAAAUAUUUUCUUGGGACAACAAUGAAGUCACUGAAGAGUUGUGUCUUGUAAUGCUUCAAUGAAGAAGAACAAGAACUCAAAUGUGAAGUAGCCAUGCUCAGUUAGGGAUCAAGAGGAGGGGAGAAGUUAGGAUUGAACAAACGUGUGCAUAUGGAUUACGUUUAUGGUUUGUGUUAUAAAGAUUGUAUCUAUAAAAUAAAUUUACAAAUGCAAGUGCCCUUUUCCAUUUAUGAAGGGACCAAUGUCGUUGAAGUAACUUUUCAUAUACUAAACAAAUCUGUCAUAUGAGGUCAAUAGUUUUUCGUUUUUCUUUAUUCUUUUCUAAUUUAUAAAUUUUAAGUUUACAAGUCAACCAAGCAGAACAAAAUGUUUAUGAAACAUGCAUAGACAAUACAAACUUGAAUUAAGAGUUAAAAUACUUUUCUAAAAGUUCUAUAAAUACAACUAACUUGUACUAGAUAUUGAAUGGUUCUUAUCUAAAUUGAAGAAAGUUUUAACUUACGAAUGUGUUUAUUUGGUGGGGGUUCUCAUACCUUAAUAAAGUAUGAAAAAAUUGUUAUGCUAUAUUGCAAUAAUGGCAGCGCUUAUGUUACAUUUAAGGCAAGUAACAGACCGAUAAAAUGGAUCGUUCAAUUCGUCAAUUUUCAGAUCGAACGACUGUUAAGGAAUUUAACACAAAAUAAGGUACUGGUAGAGGUGGUAAAAUAAUUAUUAUAACAAAGGAUGUGCAACCUGUCAAAACGGUUCAGGGAAUAAGGCAGUUAAGGGGUUAUUCGGUAAUGAAAUUCAUAGAGGGAAAAGAAGAGUUAUGCACGGGUAGUCUGUGUAUGCGUAAAAUUCAAGAGGGUAUGCAGUACAAUAAUUAGGUUUUCAAAAGAGGGGGAAAAUAAGAGUACCACCAAAUGAAAUUGUGAAUAUCCUUGUUCAAUUUUGUAGAUUCACAAAUUGGCGAAACCAAAAGAAUUGCUGCACCCCAAAACCGAAGGUAGAGGCGCCUGAAAGUCACUAAAAAUGCUAAAAUUCGAAACCUCAUCUUGUGAAAUUGUCUUCACCAAUUAAUUUCCCACACAUCAUUAAUUGUUAUGGGUGAUUCUUUUUUAUUUUAACACCUUUAUUUGGAAAAGUAGCAGAAUCGAUCCUGUCGAAAGCCAAAGUGAAGAGCGCGCUUAGGAAUGGGAAUAUGAAUUAUGAAAGGAUUAAAUUGGUCUGUUUCUUUCUGUGAAAAGGGAAAAAGAGUUGUAGAUGGAAAGAAAUGACAGGGCAGAGAGAAGUAGGUUUCUGUGAAAAUUGCGUCAAUGUAUUAACAGGUGAACCGGAUUUAAACCAGAUCAUUCAUCGUGAAGAGAAGAAAGCGGGAGGCUGAAAACAGUGCAGACAAUAACAAAAAGGAGACAAUUAAUUACAGUUUUAGUUCAUACUUGUAAGUAUUAUUCUGGUAUUUGCUCCAAACAAUAUAUUGGAGGUUAUUGUUAAUUGAUAUGAAGCCAGUGCUUACAUUUGUAUUUAAGUGUUAGGUUAAUGGAUAUAUGAGAACAGGUAUCAGAUUAUAAAUUUGUAUUGUAAUUGGGAAAUUUAAUUGAUGGGUACAACUGAUAUUUGGAAUCUAGUCAUUUAAGGUUGAACAAAGUGCACGUGUCAAGAUGUUCGAGAAGAAGUACCUUGCUUAGGGCAGGAGGUCGAACUAGAAGGGUCAUGGCCGUAGAAAGUAGGCACAUUAUAUUAUUUAUAAUUCUGUCAACUAAGCUGUUGCAAUGGGAAAAAGAGUGAUGAAACAUUUGCAAAUGCUUGUACGAGUUUAUCUUAAUUCAACAUUAUUGAAUUUUGGUUUCUUAUGCUGAUAUGUUAUAUGUUCAGCUAAUUAGACUAUUCAUAUAUUGUGAAUUCCAGUGAAUAAGUCAAGGAUGAUAAAGUUACAGUAGUUCGACCAUGUUUAUAGCUUGAUAAAUCGGCAACACGAUCAACAUCACUUAUGAUACGUACAUAACGACCAUCCUUUAGAGUUUCCUUAUAUUGGUCUGAAGCAAUUGAAAGCCAUAGAAAUUGAGCUGAAUAUAGUGAUACAUACAUAAAUUUAUUAACAUAAAAAAUUUAACAUAUAUAUUCCUUUUAUGACAACAAUCAUCUACCCAAAAUAAGAGAUCAUAUUAAAUCAACAUAUUUCAGUUGUUCCAUAAAGAGAUAUACCUAUAUAAAACUUGAUAGGCGUGGUGACAAUAGAGGAUACAAAUAAAAUAACAAUUAAACAAGUGUGAAAAUAUCAUGGGUCUUCGUAUGAUACCCCAGCAAGACAAUCUGAGGUCCAUCUAAAAACUUCGAAGCAUUAUGCUUCAUUUCAAUCUUUCCUUGCUGUAUGAAUAACGACCACCUUAUACCCGUCAAAGAAUGUUCAUCAUCGCCUUACAACUGGGUAUGCUUUCCAGCAACUGUUGCCAUUUUAUUGUUUAUAUUCACCUCAAUGGUUCGCUCUCAUGUGCACAGGAUUGAUUGAACCUGGAAAUAUAAAAAAACAAAUGGAACAACUCAUUCUUCUUAGUUCAAAAAGCACUAGUAGCUUGAUAAGAUACCUUUCUUUUACCUGGUUCAUUGUUUUUAGUUCCAGCAGAUUACUUUCUUCUCAAGCGUCCCAAAUCCAUUUGUCUAGCUUAAAUUUUAAAUGCAAUUCCUGCAGAUUCUUUUGUGUGUUUUCCAUUUAUAGUAGUCUUUUCCAUUUAUAAAACCUGAGGACAGUUGUUCAAGUAUAUUAAACAUAAGGACAAAAUUAAAAACACAUACUCCUUCGUCCAUGAAUUGUAACAUAAUCAUGCUUUAUGAUGACAGUAUCCGUUAUAUAUAAUCCUAACUAUAUGUUCAUGCCAUAAAAACAGAACGUUCUGUUAAGUCAUUCUCUAAAGACUUUGAAACUUAAAGCACCUGCUCAGCUAUUCAUUCCACUUAUAAUAUUCUCACUUCAUCGAUAACAAAUCAUACUAUGUUAAUAAUGAAAUUACAUGAAAAUAGUUGAACUUUGAAACAUGAAUUUGUAAACCGAUUAACAUGUUUAAAAUUAGCCAACUAGUAUUUGCUUACGCCAUUCAGACAUUUCAUCAAACACUUGAUGCAUAUGGCCUAUUUAAGAAUUUGAAGCAAGAUAAAACUAUGAGGAUACUAAUCGAUAAACCAAUCAAUGAUAUUACAAACAUUUCAUCACUCCCAAAAAAAAAAAAAUUAUAAGUUGAAUAACGAAAAAAAUUAUGAAAUUUACGAAACCCUCCCUCACCUCUGAAACUGCAGCUCCACAUCAUUUCUCUAUGUAGUAGUAACAGACAACUCUGAAAGAAUUUGUUUAUUUUUUUUCCCUUUUUCUCAGCCUUGGUUCAAUAAUUUUCAUAAUAAAAUUGUAUGAAUAGUGGCAUAUGACGUUUCAGAGAGGAGCUGUUGCUUCCUUCAAAAACUGGUUAAUGAGAUUUUGGCUUAUGAACUUUUUAAAACCCACUUAAAAAUUUUUCAAUUUCAAUUUUUCUUUUUCUUUUCAAAAUUUUCAUUAAUACCUGCCUAAUCAUCAACCAGCUAUUAUGAGGAAUGCAUAGGAUUGGGUUUACCGUUGACACAUCUUGCAACUGGUUGCCAACCCGUUUCAACAUUUUGUUCUACUGUGCCUUACCGCCACGUGCUGCUCUUACGUGAGUCAAAUGGUCACGUCACAACUAUUACUUACACCAAAUGUAACGUAAACUUACCCAUCAAUGAUAUAUUAUAUGGGGGAAACCUUAGGUGCAACUGUGGUACCGUGCCACAGUUGCAUCCAGCCGUUGUAUUAUAUGACAUGAUAGUUUUCUUUGACACUUUAAUAAAGUGCCAGAAUUUUCAUUGUCAAAUUAUAGUAACUUCCUCUAUUUUAUAACACUAUAUAAAUAAAUGUCGCUUGUUAUUAUAAAAUUUUCAAUUAUUUUUAACUUCCCUCUUGUAUCAAUAAAUAGCUUGUUUGGUAUUAAGAUAAAAAGUUGUGACUACGAAGUAAAAAUUAUUAGUGUGUUGUAAAUAUAAUUUUUGAAUAAAAAUUUUGACAAAAAUAAUAAAGAUAUUAUAUAUUUUUUAUCAUACAAGUGUUGGAAUAAAUCAACACAAUUUUCAAACUAUAGUAAUAAAUAUUUCCCCAAGACUUUAGUGUUAUAAAUAAAAAGUUACAACUAUCCAACCGGACUAUUAAAUACUAAAUAAAAUCUAAGAUUGAGUCAAAACAUAAUGAAUCAAAACCUAUUCACCAAGAAAAAAGAAACUCCACUUGUGUCCAUAUACAAAUUUAUAGAUAAUUAUAUGUAAUUUUUUUAGAAUACUAUUUACACAAUAAAUAUAUAUAACGUGGGCUACCUCCUUUACAACGUGCUUUUUUUUUAUUAGAGGGGGCUCGUCAAAACGAGCUAAACAAGAACAAAGCGGGGUUGAGUAACCCCAAACAUAUCUUGCAAAAUGAUAGAAUAAAUUCCCACAGGAGGGUUAGAAAACACAUGCAAUCCAAGAGGAAGUGAAUGAGCAAUAUUAGCCAUGAAGUCCGCAGCUAAGUUUGCUUCACGAUAGAUGUGAGUGAUAGCAGUAUGCUAGUUUCUACUUAAUAAUUCCCGAACAGCAACAACUAAAGCAUAGAACACGUUAAGAACGACCACCUGCUUAGAGAUCAUUUAGGUAACACAAAGACUGUCCACUUCCACCAACAGUUGUUUUAUGCCUGCAUCCCAAGCAAGAAUUAAGCCCUGAUACAGCCCCCAAAGCUCAGCCAUAAGCACUGAACUCUCCUCAAUUCUCAUACUAAAUCUGGAAAUCCAAUGGCCGACAGAAUCUCUAAUAACGCCACCUGCUCCUGUCUCUCAUGCAUUUUUACAAGAACCAUCUGUAUUUAAUUUGCACCAUGGCCAAGGCGGCAGCAACCAGCGAAUAAGAAUCUCCUUUUUCCUCGGUUGUUGGCUUAUGGAAGAGUUAUUAACUCUAUGAAUUUCAUUAGUUCUGGCCAUAAUAUCCAGAUAGACUGUUAAGCUGUCCACCAACUUUCCAGCAACGGAGAAUUGGUUCCUCCAGAAACCUCCAAACUGUGACGCCAAAGAUACAAUCCCAAGGGACGGGAGAUGCAAUCUUCCACUUAUUUUGUAGGUGUCCACAGCCCAGUCACGUAAAUUCGAGUUAAAGAAAGUGCUAUGAUUGUCCAUUGGAACAAGCCUACUCCAAGCCUGCUUAAUACAGCUGCAAUCUCUCAAUGCAUGGAGGAUAUCUUCAACCGCACCCCCACACCUAUCACAACCCACAUGAACGAGAAUAUGACACCUAGCAAGCUCAUCGUGAGUCUUAAGUUUCCCAUGCAAAAGCUGCCAAAGAGGCGGAUGGAUUGAGGCCCCUUCCAAGUCCAUGGUAAGUUCCAAGUUAUGUCAUGUUAAGCAAAGUGAUGAUAGCAAAGAGAUUCAUAAGCUGACCGAACCGUAAACAAGCCUCUAGGAUCAAAACCCCAGAAAAUUGAAAUUGAGGAAACGUGUUAGGUCGUUUGGGUUUUCUUGUCGCUGACUUUUUAAUUAUUGAAUUAUCUCUAGGACUUUGGGCUAGCCAUUUUAAAGUGAAUUAACUUUGCCGGGCUUUGACAGAUGAGUGGAUUUCUAUUUAGAGCAUCUCCAAAAGUCUCUAUAAAUUUUACUCUUCAAAUAUUUAUUUGCUUACCUAUGUGGCAAAUAGAAAGGUGAAAAAAUAUGAUAUUCUCCAAAAGACUCUUUAAAUAGAAAUAAAUUAAUAUUAUUUUAAUCAAAUAAUUAAUUUUUUAAAGGAAAAGUCAAUAGCAAUUAAAGCAUUUCUCUCUCUUUCUCCAAUGAAAAGUAAUGAAAUAUGAAUUGAAGAGAGAGAAAUCAACUCUCCAAAUUUGAAGAGAGAGAAUCAUUUCUUAAUUGAAGAAUUUUAAUUGGAGUGUCUUUUGGAGCUUUAAAUAUUGAUGUGGCUUUUCAAAUAAGUAAUAAAAUCUUAUUUGAAAAGCCUUUUGGAGAUGCUCUUAGAGUUGGCCUUUUGACAUCCCCGUAAAUUUCUCGUAGAACUCUUCUUUAAAUGGAAUUUCCGAAAUAACUAAAAAUAAAUUAAUUCUUUUUUAUUUUGAAUGAAAAUCCAAUUAAAACUCAUAAAUAAAUUAUUAUUUUUAAUAAUUUUUCACACCCACUACAUUUCAUUAUUUAUAUUUUAAAUUUUAAUUGAAUUUUUUGAGAAACUUUUAAGAAUUUAAAAUUUGUGAAGUAGAAUUUAUGUAACAAGAUAAGAAUAAUUUAAGAUUUUAGAACUUUUAUGCAUUUACAUAUUAGAAAUUAAAAAAAUAUUAGUUUUAGGAUGAAAUUUAUUAACAAAAUGAUUGAUUUUAAUUUAUAAUUUAGUAUUUUAUAAAUUAAGUUGGAGUAUUUUUGGGGAAUAAAAUUUAGAAAGGAGUGUCAUAAAGAUUUUGGGGGUGUUAGAAGCUCCACUCGCAUGGUUAUUGGUCUAAAUCAGGUUUUGGGCUGCUUUGUGUGCCCCGGCCUACUUGGACAGUGCAAUACAAAGAUUGGAUUUGUAUUUUGUAAGAGUUGCAUUUGCAUGAAUUUCAAUUUUGGUUGCCAUUUUUCUUAGUUUCUGUAACAACUAAUAAAAUUAAGGGAAAUUAUCAUUUGUAUACCUUUAGUUUACUCCAUUAUCAAAAAUACUACAACACUUUGAGGGUGUAUCAAUCGUCCACCUUAAGUUGACAAAAUGUAUCAGCUGACCACCAAACCGUUAGUUGCCGUUUAAGUAUGAUGACGUCAGAAGGGUAAUUUGGUCUUUUCAUAUGAUACAAGUGAUAAUUUAAGGGUAUACAAGUGAUAAAAAGAGAAUUUAAGGGCAUACAAGUGAUAAUUUUUAAGGGUAAAAUCGUCAAUUCACUGUAACUCCGUUAACUUUCAAACGGCAACUAACGGUUUGGUGGUCGAUUGAUACAUUUUGUCAACUAAGGGUGGACGACUGAUACACCGUCAAAGUGUUGUAAUAUUUUUUAUAACAGAGCAAAUAUAGGGUAUAUGAAUGAUAAUUUCCCUAAAAUUAAAAGAUAAAAUUGUGGUCAGAUGAAGAAUUGCUCUGUCAAAUUGUCAUUUCCAAAUAAAUAAAAUGAAAAUGAUUACAUAUUAACAUGUGACAAAUGUUAAGCUUAGUUGAAGAAGAAUCAGUUGGUGGGUUGUUUUCUAUAUUGAUUGAUAAUUACCUUCGUAUUUUAAUCAGUUGCUGGUGGAACUUCGUUGUCCAUUCUUAUUAAAAGCUUUUAAAAACUCAGUCCAAUUUUCUAACUAUUGCUUUCCCAACGAAAUGUCCAGAUCCUAGACCCAAUUUCACUUGACUCAAAGCUAUUGUCUUUUGCCUUUCUAAAUCAAGUUUUAGUUAAGGGCAAGGUAGUAUCUCAGUUUAAUUUUUUUUUUUUCUCAAAUUUAUGCAUAAAUUAGGUGGAAUAAUUUUAUAUUCUAUUAUUAACUCAUUUAAUGGAUGGUUGUUAAACAAGUCGUUAUAGUAUUAAUUGGGUUCGAUAUAGUGAAUCCAUUGAGGCCUUAGUGCCCAAUUUUGACACAGCAGAAUUUGUUCAACAACGGCUACUGCAGUACAGCAGAAUUUGUUUUGAAGGAAAGCUGAAUGUUGCGGACCGCCCAAUUCGUUAGCCCAAUUGCCCCAAUUUCGGGCUAGAGAGCCAACACAAGGCCAAGAGUGCUAGCUUGGCCCAAUUCCGGAAGGUUCUAGGCAACUCUAGCACAUGUGAACAUGUAAAUAUUCUAGAAUACUUUAUACAAUUCCAGCACAUGCAAAUAGCUAGGAAAUUGUAAAAUACUCUAGAGUUUGACCAAGUUUGUCAAAGUUAGGUAAAGUUAGGCAAAGUUAGGCAAAGUUAGGCAAAGCCUCCCCUAUAAAUAUGGGAUGGCAUUAAGCAUUUGUAUCCAACAAGCAUUGUAAUCUCUCUUUGUGCAAUACAAGUUUCUUUGGCUCAAUUGCUCUCUUCUCUUGUUCGAGAAUCUCUAGGCUUACUUAGCAACAUUCGGCAAAGUUGUCUAAGUGCCGCACGGGUUAGCUGCGCAAAACACUCAUCCCGUGACAUGAAGCUGUUAUAGAAGCUUUUCAAAGAGUAAGGCUCACAGGACAAACACACAUUGACAAAAAGGCUACUGGAGUUAAGGAGAAAUGGCAUCCUCCGCCAGGUAACGUUAGUAAGAUAAAUGUGGAUGCAGCAAUUGACAAGCAAAAUCAGCAAACAGGACUGGGAGUAGUCAUUUGAGAUUCCAACGGCAAGAGAAUGGCAGCAGCGGUCAAAACAUCAAAACAGUGGAAGGAUGUGGCUUAUACUGAUGCUGAAUCUAUGGAAUAGGGGCUUGAGGUAGCAAAGGAAGCUGCUAUGUCUUGCCUGAUAAUGGAGAUGGAUUGCCAAGAAGUUGCUGAUUUAGUUAACUAAGAAGAAAGGGAGUAAGACUGAGAUAUUUUGGGUAAUUUCUGAAAUCCAAAAAUAGAGCAAGUGGUUCCAAGAAGUCAAAGUUCAACACGUUCCAAGGGCAUGUAAUGUCCAAUGUAACUGACCUAUGGCUGGACCCCAUACCAGCAAACAUAGCUAUGUUUUGUCUUGUCAGUUGAAUGAGAAGAUCUUCACGUACAUGUGCUUCACGAAUGGCAAGACUAACAAUGAGAGAAGGGAACAUGUGCUUCACGAAUGGCAAGUGAAUGGACAUGAAAAACAUAUCUCGAAUUAUGUUUUUUUCCAAUUCGAAAAACAGACUUUUCGACUCGAACAGCUGUGAUUGGAUAUGCAAGUGGGCCACAUCUUCAACACGAGAAAGUAUGAAUAGCUCGCAAGGACUUUUCGACUGCAACAGAAAACUAAUGGGAGGAAGAGGAGAUGCAGGCAAUGAAUGUAAUUAGCGUUUUUUUUUUUCAAAAGAGUUAAGUUACGUGGUGUAGAAUCCAGACUCAAACAUGUGCUUCAAUAAAUCUCUUACUACGCUAUCCUAUUAAUUUUUAUGAGUUUUUAAAUUUUGUCUAAUUAAGAUCUUCUAUUUGUAAUUGUAAUUUUGUAUCUGAGAGGUGGUGGAAUAGGUGCAUAAUUGUUGUGACUUGUGACUGGGAGAAUGCACCUCUGGAGGAUCUGCCACUGGUUCAAAGAUAUUAGAUGUUGAAUAUAAUUAUGUGCAAUUUGAAGAGAAAUAUUUUUCGCUGAGAGCAUUUUUUAGUGCAAGGAAUCAUUAAAACAAGGCGCUGGAUUUAAAUUUAUCUAAAAACAGUUUUUUUCGUAAAAUUCUAAUCGUUAGUUCAAAAUUAAGAUUAAAUAAAUAAAUAAUGUUUCUUUUUUAAUUUUUGUUAGCUUACUAGUAUCCAAAUUAAAUUCUAUAUAUAUAUAUAUAAAGCAUGUGAUUGUAAUACAGACUUAUUUUUACAGUCAAUGCAUUUUAAACCAUGUGAGCAUUCAAAAAAUUUUCGGAAAUAUAUAUAUUGAUAGUUUUCUUUAUAAUUUUGUGUGAAUCAUUUGAUACUCGAUAUGAAUACACAAUUCGCUGACUUUAUAUUAUCUUUAUUUUUUUAUCAAUUGUUAUCUUUAAAACGUAGUUCAAAGAAAUCAACACAAAUAAAUUUACAAUUGUUUAAGGAUAUUACGCAGUAAAAAAUUAUACUAGACAAUAAUUUAAGCUAAACAUAUAUCCUUAUUUUUAGAUGUUCUAUAUAUUAAACGUAUUCAAGAGUUUUUUAGCUAAAACCAAUUUUCAAGUAUUAUACAUCAAAUGUACAUUGAAAUACUAGAAAUACCAAAAAUACAAUUCUAUUUUAAAAUAUAUUUCAAUUUUUAAAAAACUGUUUUCAAAUCCUGACUAAUUUUAAAAACGAAUUACUUAUUACACAAGUCUUCUGCCCGUUUGUUCACGUACGUCUUGUUGAUCUCAAAAAGCCAAUUAUAUCGUAAUAAAAAAAAAAAAGCCAAUUAUAUUUUCGGGGACGGCCACACCGUGGAACCUGACUUGCACCGGCAAGUCAUUAAGUCCACAAACGACUUUGACUUGGUGCGCUUUUCCUGAUACCACAUACCCAUACAUCCUACUGGAUAAAACUUCUCAAUUUGCACAAAUCAAUGGACUAGGAGAAAUUAAAAAUACCAAGAAUUAUUUUUACAAAACCUGCAGGUUGCCUAUAUAAAGGCAACGCUGUUUUACUACCAUGCAUGCAUGUCAUAAAAAGCAAAAUAACUUAAAGCCAUUUUAGAAUUCCUGUUGAGAAGUAAUGGGGUUAUGUUUAACUUUCUUCACAUUUAGACAUUCAGUUUGUUUUUCCUUCUUAAUAUUUCAUCUUGCAAUUGCUCACUUUAUUUCUUCUAUUCAGCCACUCUGCCAUCAUCAUGAGCGUUCUGCCUUGUUGAGUUUCAAGGAAAGUCUUGUCAUUAAUCAGACUGCUUCCUCUGAUCCUUCUGCUUAUCCCAAGGUUGCGACAUGGAAGCCGGAUGAAAAAAAUAGGUUCUGAUCCUUCUGCUUAUCCCUAAAAAUUUUUUUGGGGAGAAAAAAAUAACUAUAAUUACUAUUUAUUUUUCCUGUUAAAAAAUAAUAGCUAUUGAGUGGUAAUUUUUUAUCCUACUAAAUAUCAUUAAAUCUCAUACACAUCUCAUUGUAAUUUGUUUUUUCAAAUUGUUGUAUGUUUUCAAGUAAUUUAUAAUUAAUAUUAUAUGUUUAAUUUAUUAAUUACUAGUCCUUUUUUAAUUAGCAUGCAUUAAAUUAAAUAUGUGUGAGAAUUAUUUAAAAUUUCCCAUUUAAUUUUCAACGUUAGAUUUAGAUAAAAACUGUUACAUUAGAAUAUAAAUGGUGGGAUUUUGUGUACGAUGCAGCAGGGAGCAGAUAUUCACUAUAGGAAAUAGAAACAAGUUCUGUUUGAAUUCAAAAUAAAUACACAUGGGAAACGAAGGUUGAAGCAAGCUAGAUCAAAAGUAUCCAUUUUCUAAAUAUACUUUUGUGGCAAUGAAACCAUUGAUUAAUAUACUUUUGGACUAAUAUGUUUGAUUUUCAUUUUAGGUACUCUUUGCAUGCACAUUAGAUAGAUAUAUUGAUGAUACUUGAUGAAAAAGAAGGCAGCGACCAGAUUCUAGUAACUGGCACCAUCAAAAGAGUGUAUGGCUAAACGUAAGGGAUAUAUAGCCUUAAAAACUCUCAUCUCUCCAGCAUGAACCAUCAAAGAAGCUCUAAUUUCCGGGAAAAAUUAAAAUUAUUUAAUUUACAUUACAUGUAAAUUCAUUGCCUAUAUAAUAUAAACUCUCAGUCACACCCAGAAGAUGAAUCACUAAAAGUCACUAGGCAUUAAAGAAUAUUUAUUUUACAGAUCAAUUGUAUGUUGCUGGGUUUGGUAUACCAGAAUGGAGAUGAUUAAAGUGGUUGCCAAUGACAUUAAUGAAGCUCAAACUGAUCAGAAAGAAGAUCAAUUAUUAGAAGCAUCAGAUGUUUUCACUAGAGCAAAACAUCCUGUUACAUUGAAGGUACGUAACACGUAUUUGAUGCGUCUUUCAUUUGUUGUCUAUAAUUAUUUCAAACUUAUUUUAUAAAAUCAUUGGUAUAAUUAGAUUUUUUAUUAUUAAUUAGUAUUCUAUUAUAGGAUUAUCUUGUACGUAUUAUUAAUAAUAAAUGUUCAUUUAUGUUGAAAUUCAAAUUAAGGAAAAUAUAUUAGAACUAAAGAAACUUCUUUUAUUUUGAUUCAUCAUUGCUGCUUAACUUUUUUUUUUUUUAAUUUAAUCCAUUGUUUUACAGUUUGAGGACAUUGUAUACAAGAUCAAAAUGAAGAAAGGAUUCUAUGGAAGCAACAAAAAAAUUGAAGAAAAAGCAAUAUUAAAGGGAAUCACUGGAAUGGUUAAACCAGGAGAAAUGCUAGCCAUUCUAGGCCUGAAGCUAGCCAUGCUAGGCCCUUCAGGCUGUGGCAAAACAACACUACUAACUGCAUUGGGGGGUCGACUUGGGCGAAUCAAUGGAAGGAUUACCUACAACGGGAAGCCUUUUCCGAAUCAAAUGACGUGAAACACAGGCUUCGUUACUCAAGAGGACGUGCUUUCCCCUUACUUGACCGUCACGGAAACAAUGGUAUUCACUGCCCUUCUUCAAUUACCUAAUAGUUUUACCGAAAAAGAAAAAAUCAAGUGUGCAGAAGCUGUGAUGACCGAGCUUGGUUUAAGCGAGUGCAAGAAUAGCCUCAUAGGAGGGCCACUGACAAGAGGAGUUUCAGGGGGAGAGCGAAAAAGGGUUAGUAUAGGGCAAGAAAUAUUGAUAAACCCCAGCUUAUUGUUUCUUGAUGAGCCCACUUCGGGUCUUGAUUCAACAAUAGCUCAACAGAUUUUAUCUAUAUUGUUGAAAUUAGCAAAUGGAGGGAGAACAAUUCUGAUGACAAUACAUCAACCUUGUAAUAUGCUAUAUUACAUGUUUCAUAAGGUGUUAUUGUUAUCAGAAGGUUACCCUUUAUAUUCUGGAGAAGCAUCAGGUGCUAUGAAUUAUUUUGCGAGCAUCGGAUAUUGCCCAUCAGUGCCUACGAACCCUUCAGAUUUUCUUCUAGAUCUAGCAAGCGGUAUAUGUGCUAAUUAAUUUUUACAAUAGCUUUUUAUAAUUAACAGAUAUAAGAGUAUCCAUUUAAGGCAUGCAUCAUUAAUGUGUAGGGAUGCCAUCAAAUGGAUCAUGGAAGGAGCAAGCCCUGGUCAAGCAAACUCUAAUUUCUCAAUAUGAAAAAAAUCUUGCCGACAAAUUGAAGGCUGAGCUAACACAAGAAAAUGAAAAUGAAUCUCAAGAUCAACCAGAAGACAAGCAAUUUAGAAGAUUCUCAACAACUUGGUGGCAACAAUUCCGUGUGUUGGUCAGAAGAGGGAUCAAAGAAAUCAUGGACGAAUCGUUUUCCUGCCUCAAGAUUAUUGAAGUCCUUGUGAUUGCUUUCCUUUCAGGACUACUAUGGUGGCAAUCUAGUAUUUAUCAAAUACAAGAUCAGGUAGCAAUUUCUUGACUUUUUGGAUAUACAUAUAUAAUUAAUUAAUUUGUUGAUUUAAUAGCAAUAUUUUUUUGUGUAAAUUAAUUAAUUUUGUUUUGACAAAAAAUGCUUGCAGAUUGGACUUCUUUUCUUUUUUUGUGACUUUUGGGGAUUUUUCCCAAUGUUGGAAUGUAUUUUCACGCUCCCACAGGAACAAAAGAUGCUCGAAAAGGAAAUAUCUUCAGGAAUGUACAGGCUUUCGGCAUACUUCAUGUCAAGAAUCAUCAGUGACCUUCCAAUAAAGCUUGUUAUUCCCACAGUUUUUGUGACCAUAACUUAUUGGAUGGCAGGCCUUAAACCAACAGCUUCAAAUUUCUUUGAAACCUUGUUUGUUCUUUUAUUUUCUGUGCUAGAGUCACAGGGCCUAGGGCUUGCCAUUGGUGCAAUGGUAAUGGAACAAAAAUCUGCAACGAUACUCGGAUCAAUCAUCAUGCAAUUAUUUGUGCUAGCAGGAGGGUAUUAUGUGCAAAAUGUGCCCUCUUUCAUUGCAUGGCUCAAAUAUUUAUCAAUUGGUCACCAUACGUACAAACUUUUGCUGGGGUCUCAAUAUAAUUAUAAUGAAACAUAUCCAUGCGGGGAUUCGGGAGGAUUAUGCUUGGUUGGAGAGCAUCCAACUAUAAAAAAAGUAGGGCUUAAUAGGAAAGAUUAUUCGGUGAUUGCUUUAGCCAUAAUGCUUGUGGGCUAUCGGCUUAUUGCUUACAUUGCUCUUAUGAGAAUUGGGGCAAAUUAAAUUGGCGUUACAUGACAAAAGAUCCAUAAAAACUCAAUAAUACUCAGAUAAGGAGAUGAUCAUGUUCCUAAAAAUAUAAAUAGGAUUAUUCAUGAGAUAAUUUUAGAAAAAACCUACUUUUUUUCAAAUUUAGUAGGGUUUCUUAGGACUCCUUAUAAAUUCAUACUUUUCCCUCUUCCUUAGCCCUAAGUCAACGUGUUCUUAUAUUUUCUCUAUUGUUCAUUGCUCUCUUACUCAUAUCCUAGGAUUCAAACCUUUCUUUAGGAGAGAAUCAUAACGGUUGAUAAGUUUUACUCUCCCUAUUGUCCACAAGUUUUCCUAUCACUCUAUUUAGGGUUGCAAUUGGCAUGCUUUUAAAAUGUUACAUAUCAUUACACAUGAUUUAGGAUGUGCUUAGGGCUUUGAUUUAUUAUUGAGUCUUGUUAAUCAAUCCUUGAUACAAUAAACACACUAGACAAUUUUGGAUAACAUGAAUAUCUCGAAAUUAAACAUAUAUUUUCUAAACGAUUCUUCUUAUGAACUUAUCUUUCCGAAAACAAGACAUGUAGAGCUUAUUGAAUAAAUUUUGUUUCACGAGAUUUGACUUCGUUUUUAAUUUUAUAUGUUUUUUUGAAACAGACACUACUGCACUAUUAUACUGUGACUUCAGUAGAAUAACAAAUUUCACAAAAUUAUUUGUUGUACCAAACGAAUUCGAAAAAUUCUGAAAUUUUAAAAAGAGAUUGAACAAUCACAUACACAUUAUCAAGAAAAGUGGGUCAGGGUAUUUGAACAUGGCACAAGGUAUGGCACACUCCGUACAACAUGGCAAUGUCACAACACAUUUUUAUCAAGGCUCAGGGCGAGUACAUAAUGACCACAUACACAUUAGGCCUCGUUCAAAGUUUAGAUAUGUAGAUUAAAAAAGGACGAUAUGAUUAUAGAUGGGCCAAAACUUGAUCUAUGUAGAGAGUACAUGCACACUUCAAGAUUGCAAUAUCUUUAUUAUUCUUAUAGUUUAUAAUUAUUUUGUAGUAUUUUUAUGUUUUUUACGAACUAUUUGUGAUAAAAUUUAAACUAACUGUAUAAAUAAAGACUUAAAUAUCCAAUAUCUUAAGGACAAGAUAGUGGAAACCAAACCUCCAAGCCCCACAAUUUUAAUAUGUUUGUAUUUGUCAAGAACUCAAUGACUUUCUUUGCAAUUGAGUUUUAACUCUUGCAUAAAUUGAGUUAAUUUUCAUAAUUUUAUUAAUUAAUUGAAGAUUUGCUCAUUUAGGAGAACGAAGACCAUUAAACUUGAGCAUGUUUGGAUUGUUUUCAAAAUUUAAAAAACUAAAUAAAGAAAUCAUACUCAGGUUUUUUUUUUAAAGAAAACAAGCAACAAAUAAGAUGAUUGUAGAAAAGUUCAAAUACAUUAAAGAUGAGAAUUUGUAACUUUAAAUUUAAAUAUAAACUUGUUACCUAAGAGAACCAACAACGUAAGAGGCACUUAGGGCAUUACCAAAACCUCUUCAAAUUAGAUUUUACUUCUUAUUUAAAGAGCCGCAUCAAUAAUAAACACUCUAAAAGAUACUUACUUUAGUUGGGAUUCUUAAAUUAAGAUAUGUUUCUCACUUUUCAGUUUUGCUGAAUAAGUUUUUUCAUCUUCUAUUAAUAUUUUAUUAUUUUCACUGGGGAGAAAAAAAUAACUAUAAUUACUAUUUAUUUUUCCUGUUAAAAAAAUAAUAGCUAGAGUGGUAAUUUUUUAUCCUACUAAAUAUCAUUAAAUCUCAUACACAUCUCAUUGCAAUUUGUUUUUUUCAAAUUGUUGUAUGUUUUCAAGUAAUUUAUAAUUAAUAUUAUAUGUUUAAUUUAUUAAUUACUAGUCCUUUUUUAAUUAGCAUGCAUUAAAUUAAAUAUUUGUGACACUCUAGACAUAUGUGUUCACCUUGUAGGGUGGAGAGAUUAAAGGUUAUAAUGCCAUACCAUAAAUAUAUGAGCAACUGAUCAUUGUUAGUAGAUUUAAAGGUAUGAGAUUUCCAACAUGCGAUAGCUGCGGAUGCAGAUUUAUUCUACCCAUUGCUGCAGCACUUAUUGUAACAACUGGUGCUAAUUUGGUAAACAACAGUCAGCCCAUUAGGAGAGUUUGAUCAUUCAACUACUAUAUUCUUAAUUGAAUCUUAGACACAUUUAACUUAGUUUAUUUCAUUACAGUAUUUUUUUAUUUCCAUCUCUCACAAUUAUUAGUUACGAUAGAAUUAUUUGACAAUUGUUUGUUUCGGUCUUUAGUUGAUUUGCACUAUUAUGAUUGCUUUAGCAUUUUGGAGUAACAUCAAUCCCUGUGGAGACGAUCUUGAAUACUCAUCACUUUGUUACUUAUUGUGUAUACUUGCACAUUGGCAUUGAUAAUAAUUGAUUAUAGAAAUCAAUCAACAAUGGCCAAGUCAAUACUUCAUGAAAAGGGGCUGCUAAAAUCUUUUCGGGGUGAAGUGAUUCAUAUGGUUGUAUAUUAGACAAAUAGGUGCCCAACAAAAGUAUUUCAAAAUUAAACACCAAUUGAAGCCUGGAGCGAAAGAAAGUCGUUAAUAAGACAUCUGAAACUAUUUAACUGUAUUUGCUAAUCACAAGUUCCCAAAAAAAAAAAAGACAUACACUUGAUAAGACAAGUGAAAAGUACAUUUUUACAGUUAUAGCUCACAAUCUAAAGGCUAUAGGUUGUAUAGUUUAAAGAUUAAUAAGAUAGUCGUGAUGUGUAAUUUAAUGAAAAAACAACAUCGAAUCAGGAGCAAAGUUAAGGUGAACAAAAGGUUAUUAAUGUGGAAGAAAUCAAAAGACAAUCAAUCCUUGAUAUCGAAAACAAUGAAAAUUCACCUCAAGUAUCUCCACCAUCAAGUGCAUUGUCACAUCAAUUGACUCAUCAAGUUCAUCUACAGGUCCAAAAAAAAUGAAGAGUUUGGCUGACAUUUAUGCGAGAUGCAAUUUUUGUGUCUUUGAACCUAAAAAUUUUGAGCAAGCCAUAGAAGAUGAAGCUUGAGUGGUAACUUUUUUGGGGAUAAGCAGAAGGUGUCAAAUGCAAUGAAGACACUGGUCAUGUUGUGGAGCUCGAUCUUGCUAGCAGUUGCCUCUAUGGUUCUAUCAACUAUACCAGCAGUCUCUUUCAGCUUGUUCAUCUGCAACGGCUUAGUCUCUUCGAUAACAACUUCAAUUUCUCUGAAAUCCCUUCUGGAAUCUUAAACUUUUCAAGGCUGACCCAUCUAAAUCUCUCUCGGUCUUAUUUUUCUAGUCAAAUACCAGCAGAGUUGCUGGAGCUCUCCCAUUUGGAGGUCCUUGAUCUAUCAUUUUGUAAUUUUGAUAAUUUUUAUCUGAAGCUCCAAAAGCCAGGUCUUGCAAAUCUAGUAGAGAAUUUAACCAACAUGAAAGCACUUGAUCUUAUCAAUGUCAACAUUUCUUCAACAGUUCCUCAUACUUUGGCAAAUUUAUCUUCUUUGCGUUUCUUGUCUCUCAGUGGAUGCCGUUUGCAAGGUGAAUUUCCCCAAGAGAUUUUCCAGUUACCCAACCUUCAAUUCCUUGGUGUGAUGAAGAACCCAAAUCUCACUGGAUAUUUGCCACAAUUCCAGAAAAACAGUCCCCUUGAAGAUUUGAGACUUUCAUACACGAGAUUUUCAGGUAAGAUUCCAGAUUCAAUAGAAAAUCUUGAAUCUUUAUCUUACCUGGAUAUUAGUGACUGCUCCUUUGUAGGAAAAAUUCCAUCUUCACUUUUUAACCUUACCAAGCUCGAAUAUCUAUACCUUUCUGGUAAUAGAUUCUUGGAUGAGUUGCCUACCUCCAUUGGAAAUUUUGCUUCUUUGAAAACUUUAGAAAUUUAUUCAAUCAAUUCCUUAGGCACAAUUGCUGCACUUGGUAAUCUUACCCAACUCAGUUCAUUGACAAUUUCUGGCAGCAACUUAGUUAGUGAGAUCCCGUCUGUUUUCAUGAACCUAACACAGCUUACUGAUUUAGAUUUGAGUCAAAACCAAUUAACUAGUCAUAUUUCAGUUGAAAUUAGUAAUCUAACUCAACUGUAGUAUCUGUAAUUUUCAUCGAAUCAAUUGGAAGGCUCUGUUCCAAGCUCUAUCUUUGAGCUUAGGAAUCUAGAAGGGCUUGACCUUUCCUUCAAUAAUCUCAGUGGCACAGUGGAUCUAAACAUGUUCCUUCUUAGCUUCAAACGUUUAAAAGUAUUAGGUUUCUCAUCAAAUAAAAUGUCAUUCCUCACUAGAACCACUUAUAGUACCAAUACACAGAAAUUUAAGAUAAUAGGAUUGAGAUCAUGCAACCUUAGCGAGUUCCCAUCUUUUUUGCACAACCAAGACCAAUUGAUGUCACUGGAUCUUUCCUCUAACAAGAUAGAUGGAAAAAUACCUGAAUGGUUGUUCAGUGCAGGUACAAAUAGUUUGGAAUAUUUGAACCUUUCUUACAAUCGAUUGAUGGACUUCGAGCACAAUCUCCGUGUUCUUCCAUGGAAUUAUCUUAGAGCCCUAGACCUUAGGUUUAAUAAGCUGCAAGGACCACUCCCAAUUCCAUCAGCGUCAAUUUUUUCAUAUCUCAUUUCAAACAAUCAGCUGACCGGGGAAAUUCCACCAUCAAUAUGCAGUUUGAAUGGUCUUCAUGCUCUUGAUUUGUCUCACAACAACUUAAGUGGCAUGCUUCCUGAAUGUUUGGGCAAUUUCAGUGUUGAGUUGUCAGUAUUAAAAUUGCAAAGUAACAACUUUCAGGGAAGCAUUCCUCAGACCUUCACGAAAGGAACAAAUCUGGCUAUGAUUGAUUUAAGCAACAAUUCAUUGCGUGGGAGAAUCUCGAAAUCACUGGCAAAUUGUGUGAAGCUCAAAUUUGUCCAUCUUGGGAAUAACCAAAUCACUGAUGUCUUCCCUUCCUGGCUGGGAACUCUUCCAGCGUUAGAGGUUCUUGUCUUGAAAUCCAAUAACGUUCACGGAGAAAUAAAGGAACCUCGAACAGCUUUCGAUAUUUUGAAGCUCCGCAUCAUUGAUCUCUCUCAUAACAGAUUUGGAGGCAUUCUUCCGUCGAAGCACUUCGAUUAUUGGAAUUCCAUGAAAUAUGUCAAUGCAAGUAACCUAACAUAUAUGCAUGAUACACUAGAUCCACGGGGUUAUCCUGUAUCUACCUAUUUUGGCUUUUUUGAUUACUCACUAACAAUGAGUAACAAAGGCACAUAAUUGGAAUAUGAGAAGCUCUCAAAUCUGAUCACAGCAAUUAUUCUCUCCAACAACAGUUUUGUAGGAGAGAUUCCAACAUCAAUUGCUAAUUUAAAGGGGCUUCGAAAUCUCAAUCUUUCCAACAACAAUCUCCAGGGCCGCAUUCCAUCAUCUUUGAGUAACCUAACGGCGAUAGAGUCAAUGGACCUCUCCAGUAACAUGCUCUUAGGAAAUAUUCCUCAACAACUCUCAGAGCUCACAUUCCUUGCAGUCUUUAAUGUGUCAGAUAACAUGCUCACAGGGCCAAUACCACGAGGGAAACAGUUUGACACAUUUUUGAAGAGUUCAUUUGAUGGAAAUCCAGGGUUGUGUGGUGGACCUUUGUCAAAAAAAUGUAACAACUCCGAGGCUUCACCACCAGAAGAAGAUCCUCACUCAGAAUUUGUAUUUGCAUUUGGUUGGAAGACAGUUGUGAUUGGAUAUGCCAGUGGGACAAUAAUAAGAGUGAUUAUUGGGCACAUCUUCAAUACAAGAAAGUAUGAAUGGCUCGCCAGGACUUUUCACCUGCAAUCGAAAGCUAAUGGGAGGAGGAGGAGAGUCGGGAGACAUAGGCAACAGAUGUAAUUAACCCUUUUUCUUUUUCUUUUUCUUGUAUGAAGGAGCUGCUUUAUUAUGCUUUAAAUUUCUUUCUCCUUCUUUUCUUCGAAGUUUAAUAAACGUUUUAUUAUUAUAUAUUGUUAGAGUGCAAUUUAUGCACUAGUUUUGCAUUGUUUACUUCCCUUAAUAUCGAUGUUUUGCACUUAAUAAUAAUGAUUUACUUGUGUUUUACUUUUGUAGGUGCAAUUCUAUUGAUUUGUGAUAAAAUUGAGCUAUAAGAUGAUGUUUAAGGAUGAUUGUCCUCUUGGAGAAAUUAUGAGCGUUAGAAGAACUUUGUCGAUAAGGCGUGGACGUGUGCUGUCAACUGCGGACCUACAGUUUUUAGUUUAACGUGUUUUGUAUUUUUGGUUAUUUUUGUAAUUACGAAUUUAAUAUUUCAGAUAUUAGUAUUUUAUUUUAAAUAGAACUCUAAAAGAGAAGAGAGAGAGAGUAUUUAAGGGAGGAAUCUAUUGUGAAAAAGGGGGAUUGGAGAAAAAGAAAGAAACCCUAGAUCUAAACUUUUCUCUUCUCUUUAUGAAGAACUAAACCUAUUUUCUGAUUGAAGGAUAAUGAAGCUUUGAUUCAUCACUACUGUGAGAUCUAUUUUAUGCUUUAAUUAUUUUAUUGCUUUUUGGGUAUUUGUUUAUUCUCUGAAUUAUUUUCAUGAUUAUGUUUGUUAAUUAGGUAAUUGGCCACUAUUUAAUUAUCAACUUAAUCUAUUGUUAAUUAAAGGAUUCAUCGUAUGAAGAUUUUAAUGUUUGUGACAAAUAACAUAGCAAUGAGUUGUGUUAUGUGAAUAAACAAUCUAAUUUAAAUGAAUCAUCGUAUGUGUUGAUUAGGAUUUGGGUCUCUCUGGUCUUUCAGGCUGUCAAUUGAUUAAAUCCUAUGAUCGUAUCUAGGGUUGUCUAUUGAUUAGGGAAAUAACCAAUGGUCGUACCUUGGUUAUCGACUAGUUAAGGAGAGAUUGGCUAUUAGAGGGUCUCAGUAGCUAUAACCGGUCUAUUCAUAAGUAAUAAUAAUUUAUAUUUGAAUAAAUGAUCAGUAUCGAAUCAAGCUGAGUUAAUUCCUUCAACCAGAGCUUUCUCUAAUUUGAAUCACAACUUUAAUUUACAUUCUUGUUAUUUUAAUUUGAUUUUUAUUAUUGUCAACAAAACCCCCAUUUUAUGUUUUAUGUUUUAAAAGGAUUUAAAUAAUUACCGAUCUCUGUGGACACGACCCUGCUCAAUCACUAUACACAAUUUAUUUAGAGUAGAAAUUUAUUUUUGUUGGCUUCGACAACCAUCAUAUAUGUACUAUAUUGUCAGUGCAGGUAGGCUAAUAAUUUGAUGGUUCUUGGCAAUUUUUCCUUUAGUACGGCAUUCAUAUCGGCUGCUGCUUCUUUUUUAUUUUUUAUUCAGUACCUUAUUACUGUCUUGAUUUGAUCAAACGAUCAUGUCUUUAAUUAACAAAAUUUAAUAUAAUAGUUGUAAAAGAUUAAUGCAGCAUUCUCUUUUUCCAAACCUGAAAGGAUAUGAUUUGGAAAAAAAAUUCAUAUAAUUGAUGAUCAGGUAUUAGUGAUUUUGGCACCAGUACAAAAGUCUGCGAACUUUUUGUAUUUUACUUUUCAUAAUUUCCAUAUAUUCUCUAAUUUGUUUUGGGUAAAAACCCCGAAUUUAGUUGAAGAACCGCUUAAAAUUACAAAUUAAUCUCUCAAAGAGUUCUCUAACAAUAAUCAACUUUUUGAAGCAUCGAGCUAUCACAUGGGGUGCCAUAUAACUACAGUAAAAAAAUAUCAUUAGUCAUCAAAUAUGUGCCAACAAUAUAAUUGGUAAAUAUUAACUAUCAUCAAAACUCAAUCACAAUGCUAGAGGUGGCGUAAAAGUAAUUUGAAAUAGAAAUAUCUUUAAUCAAGUUGUUGAAACAUAAAAAUAUAUUAAACAUGUGUGUUUACACGUAGAAUUUGCUUGGGAUUUUAGCUGCAUUUUGUAAAACUUUUCAAAUAGAAAUUAUUUAAUUAAAGCUUUUACAUUACCCGAAAAAAGUAAUUACCAAAAAUAUUUGAGUUGUUUGAUUGUCAACCAGAGUUUUUUUUUUAAAAUUUGUAUAAUUAUUUUAAUAGUCAAUUUUUUAUAGUUAUUUUAUAAAAGAAUGAAAUACAAUUAUCAAAUAUAAUUAAAAAUACUUUAGACGGUUUAACACUUUAAAAAAAAUUCACAAUGAAACUAUGGAAAAAUAAAAUUACCCCAACAAGAUUCUGUGCUCAACAUAGACAAAAGCAUGGUUAAUAGCCGGCAAGGAAGAAAGGGGUGGGAUUGGUUUUCUUUUCCUUUUUAUUUUAUUUUAAUGUAAUCUUUCAAUUUUGUCCUCCAUAAUAAAAUAUUUAAAUAACUUUUUUCUUAAUUUACAUGAUGUUUUGUACAAAGCGCUUGGUUUCAUGUUUUUGUACAAAUCGAUUUUGCCAAAUUCACAGAACUAUACUAACAAAAAAGAAUCCUCCAGCCAGCCUAUCAUAGAGAGUUUUAAAAGGAAUUAUGUUUAAUAAGAAAUUAUGCGGUUAUUCUUAUUUUUAAGGGAAAAGGACAUACACACCCCCAACGUUUAGACAAAUGGACAAAAAUCCCCCUAACGUUUUAAAAAAGACAUUUACACUCCCAUUCACUAACGGAAACAAUAACUUUUAACGAAAAUAGUAAUUUUAAUAUAUAAUUGCCGUUAUACCCUUCUAACAUAUAAAAAAAUAAUUAUUGAUUGUCCAUUUUACCCAUAUAUUGUUAAUAAAAUUACAAACAUAUUCUUUUUGUCCAAUUCUUCGAUUUAAAUUGUCAAAUUUUCUCUUCAAAACAAACAAAUUUAAUCAUUAUUCAAGAAUAAAAAUAAAUAAAUUUAAAUUUUUGUCAAAUUUUUUCUUCAAACCAAAUAAAUUUAAUUAUUAGUUAUUAAUGCCAUAAAAAUAAUAAUUCCAUUCUUAUUUUCCACAGUUGCAUAUAGAGUAAUUUAUUGUUUUCGUAUAUUGUAUAAUAACACAAUUAGUUGAAGAAUCUGACUUGAUUUUCAAAUUAACUAGCCAUACAUCAGUAAAUUUAAUCAUUACUCAAAGAAUAAAAAUAAAUAAAUUAAAAUUUUUGUUAAAUUUUUUCUUCAAACCAAAUAAAUUUAAUCAAUACUCAAAAAUAAAAAUAAAUAACACUAGUAUAUGCCAUAAAAAUAAUAAUUCUCCACAUGUCAACCGAAAAAAAAAUGGUUACAACAAUAUUCACAAAAAAAAAAAAAUUCUAUCUCCUUCUUCACUAUCUUCACAAUCCACUUCUUCACCGCCUUCAAUAUGCCCAACAUCCACUCCAUCGUCAUCCCAAUUUAAUCCAUUUUCAUCAUCAAUAGGUGUUAUGUCUUCAUUAUCGUCAUUUGACCAAUAUGCUUCAUCAUCUUCUUGUUCAUUUGACCAAUAUGUUUCAGAUUUUGGGAUGAGUGAUCAACCUGAGACUUCAGAUCUGUGUCAUGCAGGCCACUAUUUGUUGCCAUCUGCACACCAGUACAUGCUUUUCAUUGGUAAAUUAAGCACGAAAUUCACAUGCUUCAUGACCAUAAUACACUACCCAGGUGAAUAUUCUACCCAAAUAUUGCAUAUAACCAAAUAAAUUGAUUCCUUUGUUCCAUGUACAUCUAAAAAUUAAUCAAAACAAUAAAUAAUAAAAAUAACUACCAAUAAAUAUCCAAUAAGCCAGACAAAUUAUCAUCAUCAUUAUACAAAAUGGAAAUUAUAAAAAUAAUAAUAAUCCUAAGUGGCUCAAGCAAACAAAAAAUACCUAGUUCCAGCAUCUUCCGGCGGGAGCAGCAGCACCAGCGGCAGUCUUCGAUCGCGAGCAGUUCCAGUCGCUUCCAGCGGCGCGCACGACGCACGAGCAGCAGCACAGUCGCGGUAUCGAUCGCGAUCGCAAGCAGUUCCAGCAGCAGCUUCCGGCGGCGCGCACGACGCAAGAGCAGCAGCACCACCUUCCUGCAGCUUCCGGCGAUUAGUAUGAGUGUGUGUGUUAAAGGUUUGUAAGAUCUGGAAAGUGUGUCGCUUUGUGUGUUCAGUGUGUGUGUGUUUUGUUCGUUUAAGUGUGUGUGUGUUUUGUUCGUGUGUGUUUGUGGGUUUUUUGUCAAUUCAUUUGUACUAAUAUGUAAUUACAAUAUUAAGCUUUAGAUAAGUUAACGAAAUAGUUUCAGGAGGUGGAAAUGUUUUUUUCAAAACGUUAGGGGGUUUUUGUCCCUUUGUCUAAACGUUGGGGGUGUGCUUGUCCUUUUUCUUAUUUUUAAUGCACAACUUGUUCUGCUCUCAAUGUUACAGCUUACCUUUGCGUUCUGUCUUGUUGCAAUCCAAGCAAAGCCUUACCGUUGUUCAGUAUUUUUUUUAUGAUUAUCCUUCAGCUUAUUCCAAUGUGGCAUCAUGGAACCAGGAAGAAGAAAAUAGCGACUGCUGCUUAUGGGACGGCAUCAAAUGCAAGGAAGACACUGGUCAUGUGAUCAGGCUUGAUCUCACAUGCAGUUGCCCCUAUGGUUCUAUCAAUUCUAGCAGCAGCCUCUUUCAACUUGUCCGUCUAGAAUGGUUUGUUCUCUCCAAUAACCACUUCAACUUUUCUGAAAUCCCUUCAGAAAUCAAGAACCUGUCAAGACUAACAGCUCUCUUUCUCUCUCUCUAAUUCUUCGUUUUCUGGUCAAAUUCCAGCCGAGAGAGCUAGUUGGAGAGUCUUGAUCUAUCAUUUAAUAAUUUUCAUCUGAAGCUCCAAAGCCCGAGUCUAGCAAAUCUAGCUGAGAAGUUAGCCAACCUAAAAGUACUUCACCUUGGACAAGUCGAUACUGCUUCUACAGUUCCUUAUGCAUUGGCAUAUUUAUCAUCCUUGUUUUCUUAUCUCUCACUGAUUGCAUAUUGCAAGGUGAAUUCCCUGCAGAGAUUUUCCAGCUACCCAAACUUGUAUUUCUCGCUCUGACGUAUGAUCUCUAUCUCACCGGAUAUUUGCCAGAAUUUCAGAAUAGCAGUGUCCUUGUAGAUUUGAGAAUUUCACAUACGAGAUUUUCAGGUAAGAUUCCGGAUUCAAUAGAAAAUCUUGAAUCCCUAUAUUCCUUGGGUAUUAGAGGUUGCUCAUUUUCAGGAAAACUUCCUUCCUUCACUUGGUAAUCUUACUAAACUCAAUGAUCUAUACCUUUCUGGUAAUGAUUUUUCGGGUGAGUUGCCUGUUUUCCUGGGAAAACUUUCUGUUUUUGAAAACGCUAGAAAUCAUUUCAUGCAACUUCUCAGGCAAAGUUCCGGAUUCACUUGGUAACCUUUUGCAGCUGAAUUAUUUAACUGGUGAGAUCUUAGUUCUGCUCUCGAAUCUAACACAACUUACUCAAUUAAAUUUGGCUCUUAACCAGUUAUCUGGUCCAAUCCGGUUUUGCUUGUUGAACCUUAGCAAAUUAUCAACUCUGUACUUAUAACAUAAUAAACUGACAGGGCGUAUGCGUAUUCCAGUUGAAAUUAGAAAGCUAACCCAAUUGCACAUUCUGCGCUUAGCGGAGAAUCAAUUGGAAGGCUCUGUUCCUAGCUCUAUCUUUGAGCUAAGGAAUCUUCAAGCGCUUGACCUAUCCGACAACAAUUUGAGUGGCACAGGGGAUCUAAACUUUGUCCUUCUUAACAUGGAAUCUUUAACAGCAUUACUUCUCUCGUCAAACAAGUUGUCAUUGCUCACUGGAACCACUGUCAAUACCAAUUUGCCAAAUUUCACUAUAAUAGGGUUCAGUUCAUGAAACCUUAGCGAGUUCCAUAUUUUUUUGCACAACCAAGAUCAAUUGCUAUCUCUGGAUCUUUCCUCCAACAAGAUAGCUGGCCAGGUACCUCAAUGGUUGUUAAAUGUAAGGAUAAAUAGUUUGGAAUAUUUGAACUUUUCUCACAAUCUGUUGACAGGCUUCGAGCAGGAUCUCUUUGUUCUUCCAUGGUCUAAAAUGAAUACUUUAGACCUUAGUUUUAAUAAGCUGUAAGGACCACUCCCAUUUCCAUCAUCAGUGUUUGUCCAUUCCUAUCUAGUUUCAAACAAUCAGUUGACAGGGGAAAUUCCACUCCAAAUAUGUUGUUUGAGUGGUCUUUACGCUCUUGAUUUCUCUUACAACAACUUCGUUGAAUCUUGAUUGGAAUCAGUCAACCAAGAAUCCUCACGACCUUUCUAAACUCUCUGAUAAUUGAUAUAGAAACAGCAACUAAUCACGCAAAAGCAAAAACAACUCAAAAACCUGCAAGCUAAGAACAACAAUUUAUGGUGGUUCGGCCUGGAGAUGGCGUAUAUCCACUGAAGAACAGAGCAACAGCUUUUAUUCAAUCACUGAGAACAAAAUACAACCUUAAAGACAAAGUUACAAGCAUUUCACACUAUGAUUUCACUUCCCUUAAGGCUAUAUAUACACGCUUAAGAGCCUCCAGAAAGAUCCCCUGCCAGCCAGCUGUAUUCUGGGUUUGUUGUAAACAAAACCCAGAAUUUUCCCGCUUUCAUAACCGAAAAUAACAAGCUUCUAGACACGUGUUUCCUUCACGUUAAACAUAGGCCCAAAACGACAGUAAAUAAUGCAGUAUAGGAUAAGUGACUGCACAUGACAAGCACAUGCUCAACUUAUUCAAAUGUUACUGACAAAAUAAUAUUGUCAUACGGACUUAUAAGUUUUUAAGUCGACAUGUCGUAUUGCACCAAAGCUUUAAACUGACAGAACAUCUGAUCUUCUGGAAACUAGCUUCAAAGCUCACACCUAACGAACUUCAGUAGCAUGGUUCCCAAAUGUUUGGGCAACCUCUGUGAUAAGUUGCCAGUGUUAAAAAUGCAAGCUAACAACUUUCAUGGAAUCAUUCCUGAAACCUUCGUGAACAGAACAAAUUUGAGUGAUUGAUUUUGACAACAAUUCAUUGCAAGGAAGAGAACCUAAAUCCCUAGCCAAUUGUGUGAAGCUAAACUUUCUUAAUCAUGGGGAUAGCCAAAUAACUGAUGUCUUCCCUUCUUGGUUGGGAACUCUGCCAGAGGUAGAGGUUCUCAUUUUGAAAUUCAACAACUUUCAUGGAGAAAUAGAGGAACCUCAAACUGCUUUUGAGUUUCCCAAGCAUCGCAUCAUUGAUCUCUCUCAUAAUAGGUUUACAGGUAAUCUUCCAUAAAAGCACUUCUACCGCUGAAAUGCCAUGAAAGAUCUCAAAGCAAGCAAGUAAGCUAGCCAUGAAAGAUCUCAAAGCAAGUAAGCUAACAUAUUUGCAAGUUAAACCGGUGGCGCAUGAUUUAGAUGCGUUUACCAACUAUGGUUCCACCGAUUACUCACUAACAGGCCAGCUCAACCAUAUUUGGGGACAAAUGGUUUUAAUUAAUUAUUCUUAAAAUUUAAGACAAAAAAUAUAUAUAUUAUUUAUUGAAAUCAAUUCUUUAAACACUCUAAAAUGUAAAAAUUAUUAAAUAAAAUUCUAUUCUACUGUUGGUAAUCCAUGAAAUUUUAAUUCAAUUAUAACAUUUUCACUUAUUGGUUUUUUUAACUCAAAUUACAUCUUUUUUACUACUUCCUUUCUAGAUUAAACUAAUUUUUCUGUUCUUCUAUUUUCUAAAGUUUUUCGAUAUAGUUUUAUUUCAAAAUAGAUAAAACAAGCACACACAAGAAAAGUAGAUGAAUAAAAGAAUAUAUUAAAAAGAAAUAAGAACAAAUAAAUAACCCAACUAAUUAAGAGAAUAAUAAAAAGAUAAAAUCUGGAAUUUGAGAUGAAAUCAUAAAUUAACUUUAUCUUUAUAAUAAUUGUUUGAGAAUUUGAGUGAUGACCAAUAGCCAUAGAGAAUAGAGAAAAUGAUUAGAUUUUUUCUUUUUUUUUCUUGAGUGGAAAGCAGAGGAAGCAAGAUUUUUUUCCCUCUCUCUCUCUUUCUUUCUCUCAAACACCAAGAACAUAUCGUAUCUUGAUUGUUGGAGGAAAAAUUUAAUGGAUAAGUAAUAAAAUGUGGGGCUUUUAUAGAGGCUUAAAAUGAACAUAAAACUUUUUAAUUAUAACAUAUUAAUUCUAACAAUGAAAUAGAGUUUGUAGGAUUGAAACUAUUAAUUUAUCGGUUUUGUAAGAAUUAAAACUAUUAAGUACUAUAUUAAACAAACUUUAUAGGAAUUUGAUAGUUUAUUUAAGAAAAGAUAAUUACAAAAUAAUAAUAAAUUAAAUGAAUAAUAAUGACUUUUAAAUUCAUUUUCUCAUUUUAUAUACAAAAUAAUCAUCUCAUGAGGUCUUUAUAUAAAGCGGGACCCUAGGCAACCGCCUAAGUUGCUUAGAGGUCAAGCCCCUACUGCUAAUAAUGAGAAACAAAGGCAGAGAUAGAAUAUCCCAAGCUGUCAAAUUUGAUCACAGCAAUUAUUCUCUCCGACAACAAUUUUGUUGGAGAGAUUCCAACAUCAAUCGCCAAUUUAAAGGGGCUUCGGACUCUCAACCUUUCCAACAACAAUCUCCGAGGGUACAUUCCAUCAACUUUGAGUAACCUAACCGUGAUAUAGAGUCAUUAGACCUCUCUCGUAACAAGCUCACAGGACAAAUUCCUCAGCAAGUAGCAGACCUCACAUCCCUUUCAUUCUUUAAUGUGUCACACAACCAUCUGAGUUAAAGAACAGAAAAUAGUUGUUUGGCUUAUGAGAAAGUUAAAGAAAAGAAAUGAGAUCUGGAAACUUCAACUUUAUUCAAUUCUUUUGUUUUCUGGAACUAUAACCAUCUACUAAUCGAUUACAUGUAUAUAUAUACAAGUGCAGCUGCUCGGCUGAAGUUUAACAAACUAACUAACUAUUUACAAAUUGAUUAAAAAAAUUAUCACGUGUAUAUGUACAAGCAGCUACAUAACCACCUGGUGCCAGCUGGCAGUACAUGUCAUCAACUUGUAACUGAUUGUAGAAGUUUCUAUGAUCCUCUGCUCUGUUGCAAAUAUGAGCCUCCUUAACAAUCUGACGGGAGUAAUACCACAAGCGACACAGUUCAGCACAUUCACGAAUGAUUCGUUUGUUGGAAAUCCAGGAUUGUGUGGAGAACCUUUGCCUAGAAAAUGUGAAAACUCUGAUGCUUCCCCAGCAGAUGAUGAUCUAUACUCAGAAUCUGUAAUUGCAUUUGGGUUGGAGACGGCGCUAGCAGGAUGUGCAAGUAGGACAAUAAUAGGAGUGGCACUUGGGUACAUCUUCUCCACGAAAGUAUGAAUAGCUUACGAAGACUUUUCGACUACGACCAGAAAGUAGUGGAAGGAGGAGGAUGUUUGAAAGCUUAAAAGAACAGACUGUUUGGUUACUGAGAAAAGAAAAAAAAAUGUAUUUAAGGUGCUAAGAAAAUUUGUAAAAGACUUAUGAAUCAAAUGCUUUAUUUCAUUUUUACUUAAUAAUAAAAUGAUUACAAGAUGCUUGUAUUUAUACUCAGCUGUUUACAGCUUAACAGAAAAUAAAGAAGCUAACUGAAUAUGAUCUCAACGUGUGUAACUAACUUCAGCUGAGCUGGCACUUCACUCUUCAAUUGAUUCAGCUGACUGUAUUCAUCUCACACGUGUGCUGCAUCCUUCCAUGCAUAAUGAGCUUCCUUGACAGCCCCCCUCAAACUCAAGGGGCAUGGUUGCACAUUGAGUUUGUCUCUGAAAUAAUUGAAAUGAAUGAAUGUCAGAGGCUUUGUCAAAGCAUCAGCAAUUUGCUCCUCGCUGGGAAUAUAGUUAAUCUCUAACUCCUUUGCCAAAACUUUGUCUCUAAUAAAGUGCAUAUCAAGUUCAAUGUGUUUAGUCCUUGAAUGAUAAACUGGAUUCUUGGCCAACUCUGUUGCACUUAUAUUAUCACACCAGAUAGUUGGUAAUGAAGUACACUUAAUGUUGAGUUCACUGAAUAAUGACUGGAUCCAUGUUAUCUCUGCACUUGCAGAAGCCAGAGCACGAUAUUCACUCUCUGCACUGGAUCGUGUAACCACAGCCUACUUCUUGGAUGACCAUGAAAUUAGAUUGUUUCCAAAAUAAAUGCAAUAUGCUCCUAUUGAUUUCCUGUCAUCAACAUCACAUGCCCAAUCUGCAUCUGUAAAUCCUGUGAUCUUCAUUUCCCCACCUGCUGAAAACUUCAAACCAUGAUCUGCAGUUUCCUUAAGGUAUCUAAGAACUCUUUUACAAGCCAUAACAUGCUGGAGUGUUGGAGCUGUCACAUACUGGCUCAACUUAUGCACAGCAAAUGCUAUCUCUGGUCUGGUUAAUACCAGAUAUUGUAAACCUCCAACUAAGCUUCUAUAGCUUGUUGCAUCCUCAAUAUAUUGACCCAAAUAGCCUUUAACUUCUUUCUAAAGCUUUGUUCCAGUAACUAUGGGAGUGUCACAGCCUUUACAAUUUUGCAUAUCAGCUUUGGAUAACAAAUCCAAGAUAUAUUUCUUCUGAGAUAGAUAGAUGCAGUCUUCAGCAUAGGAAACUUCUAUCCCCAGAAAAUAUGACAGAAUUCCCAAGUCUUUUAAAGCAAAAGUCUUACUGAAUUCUGAGAUGAAUUUUUCCAGCUCACCAUUAUCAGGUCCUAUUAUUAGAAUGUCAUCAACAUAGAUUAAGAUAAGUAUCAUUGAACCCUGCACUUCUUUGAAGAAGAGAGAGGUAUUAGCCUUUGAAUUCUGAAAUUUCCAAUUAGCAAUAAGACAAUUCUUAAGCUUGUCAUACCAAGCUCUAGGAGCUUGCUUCAAGCCAUACAAGGCUUUCUUCAGCUUACAUAUAUGAUUGGGUUUUUGUUGAUCAAUAAAACCUUCAGGCUGAUACAUAUAGACAUCCUCUGUCAAGUCUCCAUUCAAGAAGGCAUUAUUCACAUCUACUUGCCUUAUUUUCCAUUUAUGCAUCACAGCUAAACUCAGAACAAUCCUUACUGUUGAAGCUUUUACAACUGGGCUAAAGGUCUCAAAGUAAUCCACACCUUCAGUUUGCUGAAAACCUUUGGCAACCAACCUGGCCUUGUGUUUGGCUAUGCUUCCAUCAGUAUUUUGCUUAAGUCUAAACACCCAUUUGUUGUCAACUACUUUGUAUGCAUUUGAAAAUGGUACCAGUGACCAAGUCUCAUUCUUUAUCAAAGCUUCAUACUCAUCUACCAUGGCUUGAUGCCAAUUCUGACUACUAAGAGCUUCUUGAACUGUACUGGGUUCUUUGUUGGCUAAGGUGACUGUAUAGACCUUUGGUUUGAAGAUUCCAGAUUUUGAUCUGGUAAUCAUUGGAUGAGAAGAUGGUUGGGAAUGAUUUCUGGUUUGAAUUUGGUCUAUGUUCUGUGGAAUGGAAGUUUCCUCUGAUUGUAGAAUGGAUGAUUGUACUGGUAAUGUGUUUGGUGAUGGUGAGGUUGAGGAUGAUAACUCUAAAGAUGUGUGUGAUGGAUGUUCUUGUUGAUUCAGAAUAUCUGUAUGUGUGGGAACAGAGGGCAUUUGUUCACUUCUUGCUGAGCCUGCUGAUUGAAGACCUUCAAAGCUGCUGUUGGGUAAGGCCAUUGUAGAAAGAUGAUAGAUAUGUUGUUGAGAGAAAUUAGACACUGAGGUUUCAGAAGAUAUGGGGUUUUCUGAUGAGUGAGAUGUAGUGUUUAUUGGAUAAGGGAAUGUGUUUUCAUCAAAAAUGACAUGUCUAAGAACAUAGACUUUGCCAGAACUUGCUAAGCACUUGUAUCCUUUAUAAGAGGGAUUGUAUCCAAUAAAAAUGCAUUUAGAGGUGUGAAAAUCAAACUUAUGUUUAUUAAAAUCUCUCAAGUAUGGGUAGCAAAGACAACCAAAACACUUCAGGAAUGUGUAAUCUGGUUUGUGUUUGAAAAGUUUCUCAUAAGGAGACAAGAAUUUCAUAACAGGGGUAGGUAAUCUAUUAAUAUGAUACACUGCUGUAUGAACAGCUUCCCACCAGAAUUGAAGAGGAAGGUUUGCUUGAGCCAUGAGGGUUAAGCCUAACUCAACUAUAUGCCUGUGUUUCCUCUCAACAAGACCAUUAUGGUGAUGAGUGUAAGGACAUGAGUGUCUAAACAUUAUUCCAUUUUGAUUCAGAAAAUCCGUAAAUGCUCUAAACUCUCCCCCAAGAUCAGAUUGUAGCUUCUUAAUUUUGGUAUUAAACUGAUUCUCAACUUGAGUUUUGAACAAUUUAAAAACUUCAAAUGCUUGUGAUUUGAGCUUAAGAGGAUAGAUCCAAGAGUAUCUAGUAUAAUCAUCCACAAAACUAAUGUAGUAUUUGUAUCCAUCUCUAGACACAGUAGGUGAAGGCCCCCAAAGAUCAGUAUGAAUCAAUUCUAAUACCCCUUUUGUUUUUGUUUCAGUUAUUGAGAAAUGUUGCUUAUGGACUUUGCCUAGCUGACAUGCUUCACAUAAAGUAUUUGCAGAAGAUAACAUGUCUUUUGGAGAGACUUUAAACUGUUUACAUGAUUUGAGCAAAUGUACCAGUGUCAUUGAACUUGGAUGACCAAACUUUCUAUGUAACAAAGUUAUCAUAUCAGGUUUGACAUUACACUUAUUUAAAACAGACUGAUAGCAAGCUCGAGUACUGUUAUCACAGUGUUUGAAAGUAGAUAACAUAGAAACUGGUGGUAGAACUCCUUUCUUUGGCAGAGGAAAUAUGAAUUACUCUCCAAGAAUGUUUAAUGGAGGGGUUAGAAAUGGAUAUGGCAGAGGAUUUUUUCCUGGAAAUAACUCAGCUGAUUUCAAUCAUUUUUCAGUUCCUAGGUACUGGAUCCUUUGUUCUAGAUCAUACAAGUUUUAUUUCUCUUUCUUUAUGGAGUGAAAUAUUGUGUGUAUGUAUUUCUUCUAUAACAAAAUUUGUUUUCGGACAAAUUGCGUUCUUCUGUGCUAGAGAAAGCGAGUUCUACCACCAGAAUAACCUCCUCGUUUAAAACUUCCUCUAGGCUGUGCAAAAUAAGCUCUAGGAUAAUAUGCAUUCGUAUAUGCAUAGUUUGCAUUAAACAUACUUCUGUCACCUUGCUCCUGCUCUAAUCUAGUCUCAUGAGUGAGUAACAGUGCAUAAGCAUCAUCAAAUUCCAUUCGUGAACCAGUUAUAAAUGUAGCAAUAUCACGAAAUCCUGGUCCUAAUCCAUUAAGAAUAGUUAACAUAAGAUCCUUCUCUGUAAUUGAACUACCAGCACUAGCUAGCUUAUCAGCUAUUGCUUUCAUUUUAAUACAAUAAUCUUCAACACUAAGAGCUUCCUUUUUAAGAGUGUUUAGUUCAUAUCUGAGCUGAAGAACUCGAGCUUCAGAUUGAACUCUAAAUUUCUUUUCCAAAGUUUUCCAUAUAUCAAAUGAACUCUCACAAUUGAUAACAAGACCUAAGAUACCUUCACUUAAUGACGACAGUAGCCAGCCAAGAAGUGUCUGAUCCUGUGAUCUCCAGAUCUGAUAUUCUGGAUUUUCAAUUUGUUGUGUAGAUCCAUCUGCUUCAGUUAACAGAAGACACUUAUCAGGUACUGAUUUGACUCCUGUGACGAAAUCUUCCAAACGAUUGCCUCUUAUUGAAGCUAAAACUUGAGAGCGCCAGAGUAAGUAAUUUGAUCGAUCUAGCUUGAUAGGAUUAGUAAAGGAGAAGUUGAUUUGAGUAGAUUGAUUUGUGUUGUUUGUUGUUUGAUUACGAAAGCUUGACUGUUGAUUACUGGAACUAGCUCUGUAUGGCUCUGAUACCAUGUUUGAAAGCUUAAAAGAACAGACUGUUUGGUUACUGAGAAAAGAAAAAAAAAUGUAUUUAAGGUGCUAAGAAAAUUUGUAAAAGACUUAUGAAUCAAAUGCUUUAUUUCAUUUUUACUUAAUAAUAAAAUGAUUACAAGAUGCUUGUAUUUAUACUCAGCUGUUUACAGCUUAACAGAAAAUAAAGAAGCUAACUGAAUAUGAUCUCAACGUGUCUAACUAACUUCAGCUGAGCUGGCACUUCACUCUUCAAUUGAUUCACGAAAGUAUGAAUAGCUUACGAAGACUUUUCGACUACAACCAGAAAGUAGUGGAAGGAGGAGGAGACAUGGCAAAGAAUGUAAUUAAUAAGCUUUAAUUAAUUUAUUUAUUUAUUUUAUGAAUUACUCACUAAAGCCUUGAAGAAUUGUGUACUUGAAAAUUUUUCUUUCUCUUCCAAUUUCAAUAAAUCUAUUUAUACUAUGGUGCUAUUGCUAUGAUUCACGCUUCGGGCCUGUUUGAAAUUAUUUUUGAAAGAUUUAAAAGUGAUUUUAAAAAAAUUAAAAGUCGAUUUUAGUAUUUGAUAAACUUUCAAUAGGAUCAUUUUAUCCUAUAACAAAUUUUAAAAAAUGAAAAAGAGUAGUUUUUCAAAAUUUGAUUUUGAUAAUUCAUUUCAUAAUAUAUAUUAUAAAAAUCUAAAAUUAUCUUUUAUUCAAUUAAGAAAUAAAAUCAUUACAUUUAAAGAAAUUAUUAUUAUUUCCAAUUAUAUUGAGGUAAUAAAAUAAAUACAAUUAACUUGUUUUAAUUAUCAAUUAUUCUUUAUGCAAAUAAAAUAUUAUUAUAAAACAAGUGCAUAUAUAAAUAAUUUUUUUAAUUUAUGUCUAUUUAGGUCAUUUUAAUUCUUACAACAUUUUAAAAAUGAGAUUUACCAAACACUUUUAAAAAUAAAAUUUACUAAAUAUUUAACUAAUUUUUUUUACAACUGUUAUUUCUAUAACACAACUAAUAGAAAUUAUUCUAAAAAUUAUAACAUUACCAAACUAGCCGUUAAUCUAAAAACGCUUCGCAUAUAAUUGUUUGCCAAAGGCAUUAGUGAAUCACUUUGUGGCUGAUCGAACAUCAAUUAAUACAUAAAUCAUUGAGAUGAGUGGCACAUCAAUCAUAUACUACUACUUAAAGUCAUUCAACUUUGGUUCUCAUAUCCUCGUAACAGUGCUUGAGAAAAUAACUAAGGAGGAUGAAAAGACAGAGUGGCACCAGCUCUCUAUGUUCACAGUUUUGCUAAAAGUGCAUUUUGGCAAUGGCAUAAAAGUAACCAGUUUUAUCAAGUCGAAAAGCCAUUUUCUUUUGGCGUAGUUAGUUACUACCACAUCAUCCAAGAAUUUAUACAAGCCGAAUCUAAAAUUUGUGGCGUUUGUGGUUCAAAACUAUCAAAAAUUUCUUCUCAAGAGUUUCCAAUUUUGCGAUUUACUUUCAAAGUAUCACAGUAUGAAUAAAUGUCGAACACAGAAAUUCACCUGUCUUGAUAAGUCGAUUAUAUUUUCAGAAAUCCCUUACGGCUCACUCAGCUCCAGAAUCUGCAAAUAUAUCAACAUAUUAUUUAAAUGCAGACAGUUUGCAAAGAUCCUAAGUUCAUUUCUUCACAAAUCUUAAAUUUCCUUUUAUACGCCUAUUAUUAUUCUUCCUGUUUACACUGAUCACUAACUUACAAUCAAAUUCAAAUCAUUCAAUCUUACAAAAUUUUCUGUAGGAGUGAUUUAAUCUCUGUACUCUCUAGAUUCCAUCUGUAAUCAAUUUGUUCAAUAAAGCGUCAAGUACCUUGUUACCGAACCUCGUUACUUUGUUGCGUGUUGGUUCAUUGAUUUCUUCUUCUUUGUUCUUGGUUCUUUUCACCAGAGUUAUUUGAUUCUUCAAUUGUACUUGGUUGUUUGAGUUUGGUAACUGCUCUGAUUUCAUAACAAUAUUAUCUUUAUUUGUUUACGAAUUAUUAUCUUUAAAGCGUAGCUCAAAAAAAUCAACAUUAACAAUAAAUUUACAAUUGCCUAAGGGUAUUACGUUUGAAAAAAUUAUACUCGAUAAUGGAUAAAGCUAAAUAAAUAUCCCUAUUUUUAGAUAUUACAAAAAUUGAACGUAUUUAAGAUUUUUAAAUUAAAAAUAGUUUUCAAGCAUCAUAUAUAUCAAAUGUACACUGAAAUACCAGAAAUAUUAAAAACACAAUUCAAUUUUAAAUUAUAUUUCAAUUUUUAUUAACUCUUUUUAAAUCCUGACUAAUUUCUCAUGCCAACUGUUCUAGCUUUGUUGUCUAAGACCUGUAUGAGAAUGAAGAGACUUUAAGGUUUUGAACUAAUUCUAUAGACCUUCAAGUAAAAUGGAAAUUUUUUUGCUUCCGUUUUAUGUUUCUUGUGGCCUGGUUCGUUGUGGAUGGGAUACAAAUAAUCUUUAAGCCACGGAAAUUAAAAUUGAUCGAUCAAGAUGUUGAAGUGUAACAAUCGAUUCUUUAAUACACAAGUCUUCUGCCCUUGUCUUCACGUACGUCUUGUCGAUCUAACAAAGCCAAUUAUUCGGUGACGGCCACACUAGGGAACUUGACUAAUUGACUUGCACUAACAAGUCAUCAAUAAGUCCAUUAACGACUUCGUCUUUGAGUGCUUGCUUUUCCGGAUACCACCACAUACUCAUACAUCCUAGCUUCAAGAUAAAACAAACUUCUCCAUUUCCACACAAAAUGAUUCCACACUUGGAUAAAUCAGAACAUAGCAAUAAUUCAUUUGCAAUAAUUGAAAGUUGCCUAUAUAAAGCAUCGCAGCUUCACUACCAUUAUGCGCGCCAUAAAAGCAAAAUACCAUAAAGACACAUUUUAGAUCAAUUCCUGGGGAGACAAAUUAUGGGGUUAUCAUUACGUUUCUUUACCUUUAUGCACUUAGUUUCUUCCUUGUUAAUAUUUCACCUUGCAAUUGCUCACUUCACUUCUUCCAUGCAGCCACACACACUCUGCCAUGAUCAAGAUCGUUCUGCCCUGUUGAAAUUCAUCGAAAGCCUUACCAUUAAUAGGUAUGCUCCUAGAAAUCCUUUGUCUUAUCCCAAGGUUGCAUCCUGGAAUCAGGAUGAACAAAAUAGUGACUGCUGCUCUUGGGAUGGCAUAAAAUGCGAUGAGGACACUGGUCAUGUGAUCAGCCUUAACCUCAGUAGCAGUUGGCUCUAUGGCUCCAUCAACUCUAGCAGCAGUCUCUUUCAGCUUGUUCAUCUUGAAUGGCUUGCUCUCGCAGAUAACCAUUUUCAUUUCUCUGUAAUCCCCUCUGAAAUCGUCAACCUUUCGAGGCUGACACGUAUAUCUCUCUCUGGUUCUUUUUUUGCUGGUCAAAUACCUGCAGAAUUGCUAGAACUCUCGAGGUUGGAGGUUCUUGAUCUAUCAUCAAAUGACCAUCAUCUGAAACUCCAAAGUCCUGGUCUAGCAAAUCUAGCUGAAAAGUUAACCAACCUCAAACGACUUAACCUUACCGAUGUCAAUAUUUCUUCUGCAGUUCCUCCUACAUUCGCAAAUUUGUCUUCUUUAAUUUCCUUAUCUCUAAGUGAAUCCUUUUUGCACGGUGAAAUCCCUACAGAGAUUUUUCAAUUGCCCAACCUUCGAUUACUUGAGCUCGCGUACAAUUCAAAUCUCACAGGACAUCUACCAGAAUUUCAGAAAAGCAAUUCCCUUGAGCUUUUGAAUGUUGCAUUCUCGGGAUUUUCUGGUAAGAUUCCGAAUUCAAUAGACAAUCUUAAAUCAUUAUCUCACUUGUAUUUGCCACGCUGCUACUUUUCUGGAAAAAUCCCCCCUUCACUUGGUAAUCUUACCAAGCUCGCUCAUUUGUUCCUUUGGGGUAAUGGAUUUUCGGGAGAGUUGCCUACUUCCAUUGGAAAUCUAGCUUCUUUGGAAAUUCUAGCUAUCAGUUCAUGCAAUUUCUCAGGUGAAGUUCCAGCUUCGUCACUUCGUAAUCUAACCCAGCUUACAUGGAAUAAAGUAUAAAUUUAAUCCAAUACGGUUGCGUUUAUUUCUCGAAUUGAAUUGAAAAUCUUGAGGAUUGAAAUUCUAGGAUUGGAAGUGUGGAGUGAAAGUUAGAUGGGAUUGUUUAUUUACAUUGAAAUGAGAGUGUAGAAUGGAAAUUAGAAUUCUAUUUAUAAAUUUAUUUUGUCUUUAAUUAUAAGUUGUUUCAAAUUAUAAUUUUAUCCUUAAAAAAAAUUAAUUGAGCCUCUUAUACAUGAGAAUUUUGUAAAACUUCUCUUUUUUUUUAUUAAUAUAUUUUCAGAUUUAUAUAAAAUAAACUAUUUAUUUUUUAUUAAUUUUAACUAUACAAAUUAAUAAUAUUUAUUAAUAUUCUGAAUUAUGUAAAUCACUAUUUUUUAUUAAUUUUAAUUAUGUAAAUUAAAAAUUAUUGAUAAGAGCAACAAAAAUUAUUAUUAAUAAAAUAGUACAAAAUUAAUAUUUUCUAAGAAUAAACUAUUUAUUAUUUAUUAUUGGCAUUAAAUAAAUAUAAUACUAUUAAAAUUAAAUAAAUAUAUAGUAAUAUUAUUAAUUCUCUAUGAAUAUAAUAAUAUUAUUUUAAAACAAUUUUAACUUAGAUGAAAUAAAUUAUUAUUUUUAACUAAAUAUAAUAAUAUUAUAUCUAAAUAAGCUUAAUAUUAUUAUUUUUAAUAAUUGGGACAAAUAAUUUUUCAUCCCUAAGUUCUCGUUCAUUGUCUUGGAUCGCUGAUCUAAAGAAACUCACUAUUUUAGACCUUGUGUUAAGAUAGUCAAAUUGAUUAGUCACGUGCUAGUUAAUAUAGUUAGUUAAAUAGAAUCUGUUAUACAUGAUGACAUGGCUGCUUAUGUGGUAAAUUAGUUUUAGUUACUAGCUCAGCUGAUUUGCAUGUAAACAGAAUGAAGAAUAUUCCAGAUUGUAGUAUAUAAACAUGUGUAACUAAUCAAACGAUUUAAUGAAUAAGAAUCAAGUUCUUUCUUCUCUGCUUCUCUGAUUUUUCCUUUUCAUUUUCUUAGUAAACAAACAAACUCAUCUUUCUUAAUUUGGUAUCAGAGCCACGAUCUAAUGGCUGCUUUUAACUCAAAUCAAAACACAACAUCCUCAUUUACAUUCACCUCACUAGUUAAACUUGAUAGAACAAAUUAUACAAUCUGGAAGUCUCAAAUUCUCACUUCAGUUCGUGCUAAUGGCCUUGAAGAUUUUCUCGACAACUCAAAACUUUGUCCAGAACAAUUCUCAUCUGAUGGAGUUAUAAAUUCUGAUUCUGAUGCAACUGAGAUCACUACUGCUGAAGGAGUUCGAGAGAAUCCAGCCUUUGUUAUCUGGAAACGAAAAGAUCAGAUGCUGCUGAGCUGGCUGAUGUCCUCUAUCAGUCUAGAGAUUCUCAGUUUGGUGGUAAAUUCUAAAACCUCACUUGAACUCUGGAUUAGUCUUGAACAACAGUUUGGAUCUGAAACCUUUGCUAAAAAGGUACAUCUGAAAAUUAUGCUUAACAAUCUUAGAAAAGGAGCUAUGUCCAUGACUGAAUUUUUUGGAAAACUAAAGACAGUUACUGAUGAACUUGCUGUGGCUGGUAGUUCUGUUAGCUCACUAGAUUUUCUUACUCAUUUGAUCAGUGGAUUAGGCCAGCCUUAUUACCCUGUGGUAGUAUACAUUGAGGCAAAUCUUGCCAAGAUGUCUGUAAAUGAAGCUUAUUCUAUACUUCUGACUCAUGAGGCUAGGUUAGAGGCUAAUCAAUUGAACUCUAGUAAAGAAGCUAAAGUGAAUUUUGCAGCUAAUGUUGCUCAAACUGGACAGAAUACUAAAUCUGGACAGUAUAAUGCUAAUUGGAACAAAAAUCAAAAUGGUAAUGGUAAUGGAGGCAGAUGAGGUUUUGGUAGAGGUUUUUCACAAGGCCAAGCAAGAGGAAAUUGGAAUAAUGGCUGGAAUAGAGCAUCACCUAGUAACUAUCAAGGUAGAGGUGGUUUUGGUUUUGGAAAUGGAAAUUUUGCAAAACCUGGUGGUUUUCACAAUAGUAAUAGGAGAGGUAGUUCUGAUCUUAACUCUGUUGGAGUAAUUUGUCAGAUCUGUUUCAAACCUAAGCAUACUGCAGCUGAGUGUAGAAAUAGGUUCAAUAGAGAGUUCAUACCUUUCAACUCAUCAUCAGGAUAUAACUCAUAUCAAUAUCCAGUGCCAAGGCCUGCAUAUGCUAACUCAGCACCUAGAGCUGCUUUUAUGGCUGCUUCUGAAGGUGAUUUUGCUGAUCAAGGGUGGUACAUAGACAGUGGUGCAACUCAUCACCUCACCAACAAUCUACAGAAUCUGAGUCUUGCAAAUGAAUACUCAAGUAAUCACUUGCUGCAUGUUGGUAAUGGUCAAGGGCUGCAUAUAUCACAUGUUGGUUACACUGAUCUUCAUACAUCAUUAGACUCAAUCUUACACUUAAAAGAUAUUUUGUUUGUUCCUCAUCUUACCAAAAAUCUUAUAAGCAUCUCAAAGUUACUUGAAGACAACAACUUAACCAUUGAAUUUGUUGCCAAUAUGUGUUUUAUUAAGGACCAGAAGAAGGGAGUGCAUCUUGCUCAAGGGAUUGUUAGAGGAGGGCUAUAUCAGUUACUGUCAAAAAAGGAUUUCAUUUCCAGUUCUCACAGUCAUUCUCAGAUUCCUAGUUCCAUGCUUUAUGUUUUGAAUAAUUCAGCUUGUAAUCUCUUAGAUGAAGCUACAAAUAAAACUUGUACAAAUAAUAUUUUGUCUGCAAAUUUGUUACAUCAAAGGUUUGGUCAUCCCAGCAAACAUGUGUUGAAAUGUAUUCUAUCUUCUCUUUCUCUUCCUUGUCCAACAUCAAUGCCUGAUUUUUGUGAUGCUUGUCAAUAUGGUAAAAUCCAUCAGUUCCCCUUUUACUCAACAAGAAUAAAAACAAAAGCUCCUUUAGAGCUAGUCCAUACUGAUCUCUGGGGUCCAACACCCAUUCCUUCACUACAGGGCUAUAGAUACUACAUAAGUUUUGUAGAUGAUUAUAGUAGGUAUUGUUGGAUUUUUCCUUUAACCCUCAAAUCAGAAGCCUUAGCUACUUUCAAACACUUCAAAACUCUUGUUGAGAAACAAUUUGAUCAUCCUUUAAAGUCACUACAAUCUGAUUAGGGAGGUGAAUACAUAAAUUUUGUACAUUUUCUUCAAGAAGAAGGCAUAGAGUUUAGACAUAGUUGCCCUCAUACACAUCACCAAAAUGGUGUGGUAGAGAGAAAGCAUCGCCAUAUUAUAGAAACAGGGCUAACUUUACUUGCUCAGGCAAAAAUGCCCUUAUCUUUUUUGUGGGAAUCCUUUUAUACAGCUUCUUUUCUUAUCAAUAGGCUGCCAACACCUGUUUUGAAUAAUACCUCUCCUUAUACCAAGCUCUAUGGCAGAAAGCCUGAUUAUCAUUUUCUCAAAACCUUUGGCUGUUCAUGCUUUCCUUUUCUCAGACCUUACAGUCAACACAAGUUUAACUUUCAUACACAAAAAUCUCUCAUGAUUGGUUAUAGUCCUCUUCACAAAGGCUAUAAGUGUCUUGAUCCCACUGGCAAAACUUAUAUUGCCAGACAUGUCAAGUUUAAUGAAUCUGAAUUUCCAUAUUCAAAUCUUUUUCCUUCAUCAGAUCCAAAAGUGUCCUCGGUUCAGCAAAGUCAUUUCUCUAAUCCAUUCAUUACUUCCACAAUCCUACUCACUGAUAGUAACUGUGCACAGUCUUCUCUCAAUCCUCCAGCUCAAGAUGCAGGCCCUGAUUCAGGUAUCUUACAGACACUCUCUUCGUCUCAUUCUUCAGACACUUCUUCAUACAGUACACCACAUCAACCAUCUUCUUCUGUUCAGUUGCCAUCAAUAUCCACUCUUGCACCUCAACCAGCUCAAAAUAUUCAUCCCAUGCUCACUAGAUCCAAAGCUGGUGUAUUUAAGCCUAAAACUUACCUGGCUGUUACUCAGCACCUUGAACCACAUUCAGUUAAAGCAGCAUUGGUUGACAUCAAAUGGAGACAAGCUAUGCAGGCUGAGUUUGAUGCCUUGCAGAAAAAUAGCACCUGGUGUUUAGUUCCUAGAGAAAAAGCUGGGAAAAUUGUAGGCAACAAAUGGGUUUUCAGGGUGAAGUAUAAUCCUGAUGGUAGUAUAUCCAAGUAUAAAGUAAGGCUGGUGGCCAAAAGCUUCCAUCAAACACAAGGAGUAGAUUUCUUUGAAACAUUCAGUCCGGUUGUAAAUCUGAUACUUCAUUGUUCAUUUUUCACAAAGCUGGACAUUAAUAAUGCUUUUCUUAAUGGCCUAUUCAACAGCUGGACAUUAAUAAUGCUUUUCUUAAUGGCAUCCUUACUGAAGAAGUCUUUAUGCAUCAGCCUGAAGGUUUCAUUCAUCCUCAAUUUCUAUCUCAUGUCUGCAAGCUUACCAAAGCUCUCUAUGGUCUUAAGCAAGCUCCAAGAGCUUGGUAUGACAGAUUGAAAUGUUCUUUGUUGAAUUGGGGUUUCAUUGCUUCAAAAUCUGAUACUUCAUUGUUCAUUUUUCACAAAGCAGGAGAUAUAGUUGUUAUUUUAGUUUAUGUAGAUGACAUAUUAGUGACUGGCUCUAAUGAUCAGCUUGUUGAAAAAGUUAUUCAUCAUUUAAGCUCAGACUUUGUUUUUAAGGAUCUUGGGGAAUUCAACUACUUUCUUGGUCUUGAGGUUACACCUUCAGUUGAAGGUUUGCAUAUUUCUCAAACAAAAUAUGUAGGUGAUAUUCUCAAGAAAGCACAGAUGAUUGAGAGCAAAGGUUGUUCCACUCCCAUGAGUUCUACAGAGAAGCUAGUCAAAGACAAGGGUGUUGCUUUUGAAAAUCCCUCUCUCUAUAGAAGUAUAGUUGGCUCAUUACAGUAUCUUACCCUUACUAGACUUGAGAUUGCCUUCACAGUGAAUAAGCUGAGUCAGUUUCUUGCCAAUCCAUCAGUGCUUCAUUGGCAAGCAUGUAAACGAGUUCUGAGAUAUUUACAAUGUACAACUAACCUUGGUUUACAGUUUUAUGCCUCUAGUUCACUCACACUUUCAGCUUUCUCAGAUGCUGAUUGGGGCUUAGAUUUAGAUGACAGAAAGUCAAUUGGGGGAUAUUGCAUUUAUCUGGGGAAUAAUCUGGUCUCAUGGUCAUCUAAGAAACAACCUAUAGUUUCAAGAAGCACAGCUGAGUCAGAAUACAGAGCAUUAACAUUGGCUGUCUCUGAAACUUUGUGGAUCACUUACUUGCUGCAAGAGUUGAAAGUAACUCUAGCACAAACUCCAGUUAUCUACUGUGAUAACAAGAGUGCAGAAGCUUUAGCAAGCAAUCCCAAGUAUCACUCCAGAACCAAACAUAUUGAGUUAGAUUUACACUUCAUUCGGGAUCAUAUAGCUCAGAAAGAACUGCAGAUUAGUCAUGUUCCCAGCUAUGAUCAAGUGGCAGACAUUUUUACAAAACCUUUAGCUUUUGAUCAAUUUAACUAUCUAAGGUCCAAGCUCAAUGUCCUUUCACGACCUUGAGCUUGAAGGAGGCUGUUAAGAUAGUCAAAUUGAUUAGUCACGUGCUAGUUAAUAUAGUUAGUUAAAUAGAAUCUGUUAUACAUGAUGACGUGGCUGCUUAUGUGGCAAAUUAGUUUUAGUUACUAGCUCAGCUGAUUUGCAUGUAAAUAGAAUGAAGAAUAUUCCAGAUUGUAGUAUAUAAACAUGUGUAACUAAUCAAACGAUUUAAUGAAUAAGAUUCAAGUUCUUUCUUCUCUGGUUCUCUGAUUUUUCCUUUUCAUUUUCUUAGUAAACAAACAAACUCAUCUUUCUUAAUUCCUUGAAUCCAGCAAAUUAGUUGGUGAGGUCCCUCAUGUGCUCAUGAACCUAACACAACUUACUCAGUUAUCUCUAGCUUUUAAUCACCAAUUAACUGGUCCGAUUCCAUAUUGACUGAUGAACCUAAACGAACUAUCCCUUCUCAGCUUCAGAGGUAGCAAAUUGAGUGGCCAUAUCCCCAUUGAAAUUUCGAACCUAACCCAAUUGCAGAAACUGUAUUUUGCAGGGAAACAAUUGGAAGGUUCUAUUCCUAGCUCGUUCUUUGAGCUCAAGAAUCUUGUGGAGCUUGAACUCGCCGGCAACAAAUUGAGUGGCACAUUGGAUAUAAACAAGUUCCUACUUAACAUGAAAAGUUUAGAAGUGUUAGUUCUCUCGUCAAACAAAUUGUCACUGCUCACCGAUACCACUGUGAAUACCUAUUCCAAGAACUUCAGUGUUAUAGGCUUACGUUCAUGCAACCUUAGUGAGUUCCCACAUUUUCUGUACAACCCAAAACUCCUGGAUUCCUUGGAUCUUUCAUCCAACAGGAUAGCUGGGUCAGNNNNNNNNNNNNNNNNNNNNNNNNNNNNNNNNNNNNNNNNNNNNNNNNNNNNNNNNNNNNNNNNNNNNNNNNNNNNNNNNNNNNNNNNNNNNNNNNNNNNNNNNNNNNNNNNNNNNNNNNNNNNNNNNNNNNNNNNNNNNNNNNNNNNNNNNNNNNNNNNNNNNNNNNNNNNNNNNNNNNNNNNNNNNNNNNNNNNNNNNNNNNNNNNNNNNNNNNNNNNNNNNNNNNNNNNNNNNNNNNNNNNNNNNNNNNNNNNNNNNNNNNNNNNNNNNNNNNNNNNNNNNNNNNNNNNNNNNNNNNNNNNNNNNNNNNNNNNNNNNNNNNNNNNNNNNNNNNNNNNNNNNNNNNNNNNNNNNNNNNNNNNNNNNNNNNNNNNNNNNNNNNNNNNNNNNNNNNNNNNNNNNNNNNNNNNNNNNNNNNNNNNNNNNNNNNNNNNNNNNNNNNNNNNNNNNNNNNNNNNNNNNNNNNNNNNNNNNNNNNNNNNNNNNNNNNNNNNNNNNNNNNNNNNNNNNNNNNNNNNNNNNNNNNNNNNNNNNNNNNNNNNNNNNNNNNNNNNNNNNNNNNNNNNNNNNNNNNNNNNNNNNNNNNNNNNNNNNNNNNNNNNNNNNNNNNNNNNNNNNNNNUGUUGAAACGUAAAAAUAUAGUAAACAUGAGUGUUGCUUAUUUUAGCCUCUGUUUGAUAAAAUUUCUCAAGUAGAAAUUAUUUAAUUAGAGCUUUUACAUUACCAAAAGAAAAAAGUACUUACCAAAAAUAUUUGAGUUGUUUGGUUGUCAAAGAGAGAUGUUAUAAAAAAAUAUACAAUUACUUUAAUAGAUAAGUUUUUUAAAAUUAUGUUAUGAAAGGAUGAAAUAAGAUUAUUAAAUAAAUUAAGGAUACUUUAGAUAGUUUAACUCUUUAAAAAAAAUAAUUUACAACCUCUACUUCCAAAAUCAUAAAAUUUAAACUUUUAUUAAUGGAGGCAAAAUAGAUUAUCUCCAAAAUCUCUACUCAAAAUAUAACUAAACAAUACUAAAUUAAAAAAUAUAUAUAGAAUUAAAUGAAUACUUUUGACUAUUGGAUAAGUCAAAUGAAACAAAAAUAUGUACUGCUUUUUCAGAGCAGCGCCAGCUUUCAAAGCUUAGGCAAAUGGGUGAAGUUUUAAGUUUCAACCCCAAUCAUUAAGUUGAUGUAGUUAAGAUCAAUGUUUGACUCUCCAUUACCAAAAUCACAUUUUAUCAAUGCAUGCAAUAGUAGUGCAUCCAGUUGUCUUUGUAAUUCUUAAUAUUUUCUAAGAAAUUUAGCAGCCUUAAUUUAAACUAAAACUGUCGUGAUUUCGGAUAAUUUCUGGUUAACAUUAUGGACGAGUGGAAGUACCACAGUAAGAGUAUGUGAUCAACUUCAUAAUUUGUCUCCAGGUCUUACUUAUUACUUAAUUCUGGCGCACGCCAUUGACAAUUAAAAUUAAAGAAUCCAUGUGGUCAGGGGUCAGGGAUAAUCAUAAUUCAGUGUAGACAAAAAGCAUGGUUAAUAGCCAGCAAGGGAGAAAGGCUAGAUUGGUUUUCUUUUUCUUUUUUCUUUUAAAUGUAAUCUUUCAAUUUUAUCCUCCAUAAUAAUAUAUCUAUAUAAUUUUUUCGAAAAUUAUCUCUACCCCACUUUUGUUUUGUCAUAUGUAUAAUCUCAUCACCUCAAAAUUUUGCCAUAUUCUUCACACCACCUUUAUUUUUAAGUUUUUUUCAAUAAACUACUUUGACACUAUAAAAUGAUCAUUUUACCCUUAAAUGAAUGAAACAACUAUUUUAUUAUACAAAAUUUUAAAAAAUAAAAAAAAAUAUAAUUACAAGAAUACCCCUGAAUUUAAUAAAAUAAAUCUCAAAUCUAAUAUGUUAAUUUUUUUAUAAUUACAAUUUCAUUUAAAAAUUAUCAUGUUAAUUUUUUGUAAUUAUAAUUUCAUUCAAUUUCUAUAGAGAAGUUUCUUAAUAUUAAUUAUAGGGAAGUUUAUAAUAAUUAUAGGGAGUUUUUCUCUCCAUGUUAAUUUUGGUAAACUUCCCUAUACCUAAUUUAAUUAUAAAAAUUAAAUGAAAUUAUAAUUACAAAAAAUUAUGAUUGCAAGGUGUUAAUUUUUUAUAAUUAUAAUUUCAUUUAAAAAUUAUCAUCUAAGAUUUUGAGAUUUGUUUGUUUUAUUGAAUUUAGAGGUAUUCCUAUAGAUAUACUUUUUUAUUUUUUAAAAUUUUCUCGAAUAAAAUAAUCUUUUAAUUCAUUUAGGGGUAAAAUGAUUUUUUUUAGUGUAAAAGUGAUCAAUUGAUAUAAGUUUAGAAAUAAGAUAGUGAAAAAAAUAAUUUAAAAUUUUUUAAUGAUUAAAUAUACAUACGACAAAAUAAAAGUGGUUCAAAGAUAAUUUUCGUAACUUUUUUUUCUUAAUUUAUAUGAUGUUCUGGACCAAGCGCUUGUUUUCAUGUGUUUGUACAAAUCGAUUUUGCCAAAUUCACCGAAUUAUACUAACAAAAAAGGACCAUUUUCGUGACUAGCUUUAUUUUGAACCCAUGACAAUGGCUCUCUAUUCCAACUCCCGCAUCCACAAACCAUCGUUUUUUUUUUUUUUUGUUCUUCCAAAUCUCUAGAUACAACUCAUAGAAAGAACCUAAAAUUUACAUAAAAGAACGACAUGUGGUUGAUAGAUGCCCAGCACAAUCCCAUAUUUAAUUUUCUUAAGCAACCUUUGUACGUAUAAUAAUUUUGUUCCAACCAAGUUUGGGGGUGAAUUCUCAAAAGCCAUUUGGGUUGAUGCUAUCUCCUCUUGAUAGUAUAGACAAAAGCAUGGUCAAUAGCCGAAUAGGAAGCAUACGACACUCAGAAAGAACUUAAAAUUUUUUAAUCCUAAAAGAAGAUUUGAUUGUGAAUUAAUCCCAGUAACAUCACAUUUGGCACCGCCUAUAAAAACAUCUCAAUUCUAUGCCUGACCCUCCAAACAAAAUCCUCCAGCCUUCCUAUUAUAGAAAGUUUUAAAAGGAAUUGUGUUUAAUAAGAAAUUAUGGGGUUAUUCUUAUUUUCCUUCACUUUAAUGCACAUACUUCUUCUGCUCUCAAUGUUUCAGCACACGCUUGCUGACUUGCAGCCACUCUGCCAGGAUGACGAGCGUUCUGCCUUGCAGUAAUUCAAGCAAAGCCUUACCGUCGUUCAGUGUUCUUUUGAUGAUUAUUCUUCAGCUUAUCCCAAGGUUGCAUCAUGGAGCCAGGAAGAAGAAAAUAGUGACUGCUGCUUAUGGGACGGCAUCAAAUGCAACGAAGACACUGGUCAUGUGAUCAGGCUUGAUCUCACAAGCAGUUGCCUCUAUGGUUCUAUCAACUCUAGCAGCAGCCUCUUUCAACUUUUCCAUCUGGAAUGGCUUGUUCUCUCGAAUAACCACUUCAAUUUUUCUAAAAUCCCUUCAAAAAUCAAGAAUCUGUCAAGACUAACAGCUCUAUCUCUCUAAUUCUUCGUUUUCUGGUCAAAUACCAGCAGAGUUGCUGGAGCUCUCCAAGUUGGAGAGUCUUGAUCUUGUUAGAGAUAUAAAUGCAAAGAAUAUUCCCGUGAUGGUUCUGCUGAUGUGGCAGUUGAGUAAGCAAGGUUGUUAUUGUUACUUUGUAAGUUUGUUAUAGAGCUGGGAAAAUUAGUUAAUUACAGCUUAUUCUUUACACGUGUGUGAGCAAAUGUAGAAGGUUCUGGAUCUCAGUAUAUAAGCUCACUUUCUGUACUCAUAAUAAGUUGAAUAAGAUUUGAUCUGUUUUCUUAUAUUUUCUCUUAAUGCUCAUUAAAUUUUCCAUCACUUUCUCUGCAACCAAACAAGCACAAAUAGCUUGAUUAAACUUCAAUUUGGUAUCAGAGCUAGAUUUAGUCUAAUCUCAUGGCGUUAUCAAGCUUGAACACAAACAUCUCUUCUUCGGCAACAACCUUUACCUUCACAACUCCAAUAAAACUUGACCGAUCAAAUUACUUAAUCUGGAAAUCUCAAAUCCUAUCUUCAGUUCGAGCAAAUGAACUUGAGAGUGUGCUUGAUGGAUCCAGAAUCUGUCCAGAUCAAUUUCUCUCAAGCACUCAAGGAAAUUCAGAUGCUAUCUUCAAUGCUUUUGUAAGUUCAACUGUUGCUUCACGAGAGAAUCCUGAGUUUACUGUGUGGAGAAAGCAAGAUCAGAUGUUACUGAGCUGGCUAUUAUCCUCUAUCAGCAUUGAAAUCCUCAGUCUUGUGGUAAACUCUAAAACUUCUUAUGAAAUGUGGUCUAGUUUAGAGCAACAAUUUGGAUCUGAAACUGCUGCUAAGAAAGUUCAUCUCAAAAUGAUGUUGAAUAAUCUGAAGAAAGGAUCUAUGACUAUGACAGAAUAUUUUAGUAAGUUGAAGUCAGUUACUGAUGAGCUUGCUAUUGCUGGAAGUCCUAUUAGUUCUUUGGAUUUUAUAACUAAUCUCAUCUCUGGAUUAGGUCAGCCUUAUUAUCCAGUAGUUGUGUAUAUUGAAGCAAAUGUUUUAAAAAUGAGUAUUAAUGAGGCUUAUUCAAUGUUGUUGACACAUGAGGCACGUUUAGAAAGUAAUCAAUCUAAUGCUUUCAAGGAAGUGAAACAGAACUAUGCUGCUAACUUAGCUUAGGCUGGAAACAAUCAAAAGAAAAUUAAUAAUCAGGGAGGCUAGAAUAACAAUAAUCAAGGAGGCUGGAAUGGAAACACUGGAAACAAAACUAGAUUUAAUAAUUGGAAUGGAAAUUUUACAAACAGAGGAGGUUUCAAUCCAGGAAGGGGACAAAAUUCAGGCAGAGGACAAUGGAAUAAUAACUGGAAUGGAAAUCAAUGUAGAGGUAAUUUUGCUGGUGCUGCUGGAAAUUUUUCUGGUGGAUUUCCUGGUGGUUUUAAUGGAUUUGGAAGAGGAGGAGGCAAAGGAAGUAUUGUUUGUUAGAUUUGUUUCAAGCACAAUCAUACUGCAUCUGAUUGUAAAGACAGAUUUAACAGAAACUUUGUUCCAAAUUUUUCUGUGCAAGAGAAUUUUCCAGGUCAGAAUCAAACUUCCAAAGCUGCUUUCAUGGCUACAUUAGAAGGAGUUGCUGACCAAGGAUGGUAUCUGGAUAGUGGAGCAACACAUCAUCUUACAAACAAUGUGGAGAACUUAGCUGAAGGUAAACCUUAUUUUGGAUCUCAGUUGCUGUUAGUUGGUAAUGGACAAGGUCUUAGAAUCACUUACAUAGGCAAUAUAUGUCUCUUUACAUCCUUAGGUAAUCAGUUAAACCUUUCUAAUGUUCUGUGUGUUCCCAAAUUUACCAAAAAUCUCAUUAGCUUGUCUAAACUUCUCUCUGACAAUCAUAUAACCAUUGAAUUUGUUUCCAAUCUUUGUUUCAUUAAGGACAAGAUGCAAGAAACUUUGCUGGCACAUGGGAUUGCUGAAGAUGGUCUCUUUAAUCUACUGUCUCAAGAUACACCUAUUCCUGAUUCUAAAGCUUUGGGUUUAAAACCUAGUUCAAUGUUGUCUGUCUUUUCAAAUAAAAAGAUUGUACACUCUUUGAAAGAGUUGAAUAACCAAACAAAUGUCUGUUCCAAUUUGAUCAAUUCCAAUAAUGAGAAUUCUGUCAGUUUUUUAGCUUCCAGUAGUGAGUCUAUGCAGUUGUUGCACAAUAGGUUUGGUCAUCCAACCAAACAUGUUUUGCAAACAAUAAUGAAAAGUCUCCCCAUGCAUUCAAUCCAUUCUCAAUCUCUUAACUUUUGUGAUGCUUGUCAAUAUGGCAAAUUACAUCAAUUUCAUUUUCCAGUCACUGAUAUAAAAUUAAAAUUCCCUCUCCAACUCUUAUAUGCUGAUUUAAGGGGUCCAGCUUCUGUGUUGUCCAUGGAUGGAUACAAGUACUAUAUUUCUUUUGUUGAUGAUUUCACCAGAUAUUGUUGGAUAUUUCCACUCACACUCAAAUCUGAGGCAUUUGACACCUUCAAACACUUCAAGUCCCUUGUAGAAAAACAGUUUUCUUUAUCCAUCCAAACACUACAAACUGAUAUGGGGGGUGAGUUUAUAGCUUUCAAAUCAUUUCUACAACAAAAAGGUAUUCAGUUUAGAUAUAGUUUCCCCCAUACUCACCAUCAAAAUGGUGUGGUUGAAAGGAAGCAUAGGCAUAUUGUUGAAAUUGGACUUACACUCUUAGCUCAAGCUCACUUACCUCUCUCUUUUUGGUGGGAAGCUUUUCAUACAGCCACCUACUUAAUUAAUAGAAUGCCAACACCUGUUCUCAACAAUUUCUCUCCUUUUCAGAAACUAUACAAUCAGCUUCCAGAUUACAAAUUUCCUAAAGUGUUUGGUUGUUUAUGUUUUCCUUUUCUUCGACCUUAUAAUCAGCACAAGCUAGAUUUUCAUACUCAGAAAUGUGUCUUUAUUGGUUACAGUCCCAUUCAUAAGGGCUACAAGUGUCUUGAUCGAACUGAGAAAGUUUUUGUUGCCAGACAUGUUACUUUCAAUGAACAGGAAUUUCCAUAUUCUGAACUGUUUUUGAAAAACAAGUCAAACAUCUUCUCUCAUUCUGAUUUCUCCACUCCAUCUUCAGUUCAUUUUUCUCUUCCUCAAACACCUGUUCUCAGUAACAGUAGCAAUGAAGAGCCAUCAGCUACGUCUCCAGUCCUGCUUUGUCUUCUGCAUCAGAGUCUCAUUCCUUGCAAAAUUCUUUUCAUUCACAAUCCCUUGAUCUAUCUGCAAGACUUUCAAAUUCUUCUCCACCAGUACUCUCUACUCAUCAUAUGGGUUACCAGAUCUAAAGCUGGUAUCUACAAACCCAAAACCUAUCUAGCUGAUUCUCAAGACCUUGAAACCAUCCAAUGUCAAAACAGCAUUGGCAGAUCUUAGGUGGUACUCAGCUAUGAAAGAAGAAUUUGAAGCUCUCCAAAGAAAUCAAACUUGGUAAUUAGUGCCUCCAGAAACAGCUGGGAAAAUUGUUGGAGAUAAAUGGGUUUACAGAGUCAAGUAUAAUGUUGAUGGAAGUAUUUCCCGGUAUAUAGCUCGGUUGGUUGCCAAGGGAUAUCAUUAAACUUAUGGGGUUGAUUUCUUUGAGACCUUUAGCCCUGUGAUCAAGCCUUGUACUGUCAUAAUCAUUUUAAGCUUAGCAGUCAUGAAUCAUUGACCUAUUAAACAGCUGGAUGUAAAUAAUGCUUUUCUAAAUGGCAUUCUUGCUGAAGAUGUGUACAUGCAUCAAACACAAGGGUUUGUUGAUUCCACCUAUCAUUCUUAUGUUUGUAAGCUUAACAAGGCAUUAUAUGGUCUUAAACAGGCUCCCAGAGCCUGGUAUGACAGAUUAAAGGAGUCACUGGUUCAAUGGGGUUUUCAUGUCUCAAACUCUGACACUUCUCUAUUCAUUAAGCAUGCAGGGAAAGAUAUACUGCUCAUUCUCAUUUAUGUGGAUGAUAUUUUAGUCACAGGCUCAAAUUCGAAGCUCAUUGGCAAUGUUAUUCAGCAGUUACACUCAGAGUUUGCCUUGAAGGAUCUGGGGGAUUUUCAUUAUUUUCUUGGUAUAGAAGUUACUCCAUCUGUUCAAGGUAUUCAUCUCUCUCAAAAUAAAUAUAUUGGUGAUAUUCUUCAAAGGGAAAAUAUGCUAGACAGUAAAGGUUGUGCUACACCUAUGAGUACUUCUGAAAAACUGCACAAGGAUAAAGGUGCUGCAUUUGAAAAUCCAUCUUUAUACAGAAGUAUUGUGGGCUCUCUUCAAUAUGUUUUGUUAACUAGACCUGACUUAGCUUUCACAGUCAACAAGCUUAGUCAGUUUUUAUCAGCUCCCACCAUACUUCAUUGGCAAGCAUGCAAGAGGGUGUUGAGAUAUCUUCAAAGUAUAGCUGAUUAUGGUCUUCAGUUCUUCAACUUUGGUUCUUUAACUUUAAUAGCCUACUCUGAUGCUGAUUAGGGCUCAGAUCCUGAUGAUCGCAGAUCUGUUGGAGGUUAUUGUGUGUUUUUGGGUUCCAAUCUUAUCUCUUGGUCCUCUAAGAAGCAGCCCAUUGUGUCCAGAUCAUCAGCUGAGUCUGAAUAUCGGGCUCUUGCUUUGGCUACUUCAGAGGUUCUCUGGAUUACAUAUUUAUUUCAAGAGCUUAACAUAUCUUUUGAUCAGACUCCUCUUCUGCAUUGUGAUAACAAAAGUGCUAAACCUCUGGCUAGUAAUCCUAAAUAUCAUGCUCGUACUAAGCAUAUUGAGUUAGAUAUUCAUUUUCUCAGAGAGCAUAUUGCUCAACAGCAACUUUCAGUCACUUAUGUUCCGAGUUCAGAACAAUUAGCAGAUGUUCUUACUAAGCCCCUCUAUUUCGAUCAGUUUGCUUAUUUGCGCAGCAAGCUUAAUGUCAUUUCACGACAUCAAGCUUGAGGGGGGAUGUUAGAGAUAUAAAUGCAAAGAAUAUUCUUGUGAUGGUUCUGCUGAUGUGGCAGCUGAGUAAGCAAGGUUGUUAUUGUUAGUUUGUAAGUUUGUUAUAGAGCUAAGAAAAUUAGUUAAUCACAGCUUAUUCUUUACACGUGUGUGAGCAAAUGUAGAAGGUUCUGGAUCUCAGUAUAUAAGCUCACUUUCUGUACUCAUAAUAAGUUGAAUGAGAUUUGAUCUGUUUUUCUAAUAUUUUCUCUUAAUGCUCAUUAAAUUUUCCUUCACUUUCUCUGCAACCAAACAAGCACAAAUAGCUUGAUUAAACUUCAAUUGAUCUAUCAUUUAAUAAUUUUCAUUUGAAGCUCCAAAACCCGAGUCUAGCAAAUCUAGCAGAGAAGUUAGCCAACCUGAAAGUACUUCACCUUGGACAAGUCAAUAUUGCUUCUACAGUUCCUCAUGCAUUCGCAAAUCUAUCAUCUUUGUUUUUCUUAUCUCUCACUGAUUGCCUAUUGCAAGGUGAAUUCCCCGCAGAGAUUUUCCAGUUACCCAAACUUGCAUUUCUUACUCUGACGUAUAAUCACUAUCUCACUGGGUAUUUGCCAGAAUUUCAGAAUAGCAGUGUCAUCGUAGAUUUGAGGCUUUCACAUACGCGAUUUUCAGGUAAGAUUCCAGAUUCAGUAGAAAAUCUUGAAUCCUUAGAUUCCUUGGGUAUUAGAGGUUACUCAUUUUCAGGAAAACUUCCUCCUUGAGUUGGUAAUCUUACGAAGCUCAACCAUCUAUACCUUUCUGGUAAUGAUUUUUCGGGUGAGUUGCCUGCUUUCUUGGGAAAACUUUCUUCUUUGAAAAUGCUAGAGAUCAUUUUAUGCAACUUCUCUGGCAAAGUUCCGGAUUCACUUGGUAACCUUAUUUGUUGUCUUGGAUCCCUAAACUUAACCAACUCACUUAUUUGGACCUUUUAGGGAGCAAAAUAACUGGUGAGAUCUUAUGUCUGCUCUCGAAUUUUUCUGAACAAAACUCUUAUUCGUUGUCUUGCAUCCCUAAACUUAACCAACUCACUUAUUUGGACCUUUCAGGGAGCAAAAUAACUGGUGAGAUCUUAUGUCUGCUCUUGAAUCUAACAGAACUUGCUCAAAUAAGUUUGGCUCAUAACCAAUUAAUUGGUCCAAUCCCCUUUUGAUUUAUGAACCUGAACAAGUUAUCAACUAUGUACUUACAUUAUAAUCAACUGACUGGCCAUAUUCCAGUUGAAGUUAGAAAGCUAAACCAAUUGCAGAUCCUGCGUUUGGCGGAGAAUCAAUUGGAAGGCUCUGUUCCUAACUCUGUCUUUAAGCUAAGGAAUCUUCAAGCGCUUGACCUUUCCUACAACAUUUUGAGUGGCACAGUGGAUUUAAACAUGUUCCUUCUUAACUUGAAAUCUUUAACAUCAUUAGUUCUCUCGUCAAACAAGUUUUCAUUGCUCACUGGAACCAAUGACAGUACUAAUUUGCCAAAUUUCACUGUAAUAGGAUUCAGGUCAUGCAUCAUUAGCGAGUUCCCAUAUUUUUUGCACAACCAAGAUGAAUUAGUUUCUCUGGAUCUUUCCUCCAACAAGAUAGCUGGCCAAGUACCCCAAUGGUUGUUAAACGUAAGCACAAAGAGUUUGGAAUAUUUGAACUUUUCUGACAACCUAUUGUCGGGAUUCGGGCAGGAUCUCUUUGUUCUUCCAUUGUCUAAAAUGAAUACUUUAGACCUUGGGUUUAAUAAGCCCAAAGGACUGCUCCCAGUUCCGUCAUCAGUGUCAAUCUAUUCCUAUCUAGUUUCAAACAAUCAGUUGACCGGUGAAAUUCCAAUCCAAAUAUGUAGUUUGAAUGGUCUUCACGCUCUUGAUUUGUCGUACAACAACUUAAGUGGCAUGCUCCCAGAAUGUUUGGGUAAUUUCAGUGUUGAGUUGUCAGCACUAAAACUGCAAGCUAACAACUUUUAUGGAAUCAUCCCUCAAACCUUCAUGAACGGAACAAAUCUGAUGAUGAUUGAUUUUAGCAACAAUUCAUUGCAAGGAAGAGUACCUAAAUCUCUAGCCAAUUGUGUGAAGCUAAAAUUUCUUAAUCUUGGGGAUAACCAAAUCACCGAUGUCUUCCCUUCUUGGUUAGGAACUCUUCCAGAGCUGGAGGUUCUCAUUUUGAAAUUCAACAACUUUCAUGGAGAAAUAGAGGAACCUAAAACAGGUUUUGGGUUUCCCAAGCCGCGCAUCAUUGAUCUCUCUCACAACAGGUUUACAGGUAAUCUUCCGUCAAAGCACUUCCAUUGUUGGAAUGGCAUGAAAGAUAUCAAAGCAAGUAAGCUAACAUAUUUGCAGGUUAAACUCAUGCCGUAUGAUGUACUUGGGUUUACCUACUAUGGCUAUGCUGAUUACUCACUAAUAAUGAGUAACAAAGGGAUAGAGAUAGAAUAUCCCAAGCUGUCAAAUUUGAUCACAGCAAUUAUUCUCUCCGACAACAAUUUUGUUGGAGAGAUUCCAGCAUCAAUCGCCAGUUUAAAGGGGCUUCGGACUCUUAACCUUUCCAACAACAAUCUCUGAGGGUACAUUCCAUUAACUUGGAGUAACCUAACGGUCAUGGAGUCAUUAGACCUCUCUAGUAACUUGCUCACAGGACAAAUUCCUCAGCAACUAGUAGAGCUCACAUCCCUUGCAUUCUUUGAUGUGUCACACAACCAUCUUAAGGGAGCAAUACCACAAGGGACGCAGUUCAGCACAUUCACAAAUGAUUGGUUUGCUGGAAAUCCAGGAUUGUGUGGAGAACCUUUGUCUAGAAAAUGCAAAAACUUUGAGGCCUCACCAGCAAAAGAUGCUCCACCCUCAGAAUUUGUACUCGCAUUUGGCUGGAAGAUAGUUCUGGCAGGGUAUGCAAGUGGGACAAUAAUAGGAGUAGUACUUGUGCACAUCUUCUGCACAAGAAAGUAUAAAUGGCUUAUAAAGACUUUUCGACUGCAACCGGAAAGUAAUGGAAAGAGGAGAAUACAUAGGCAAAGAAUGUAAUUAAUUGGCUUUUAUUUAUUUAUUUAUUUUAUGAAUUACUCUGUAAAGACUUUAAAAAUCAUGUAGAAAUUUUUCUUUUUCUUCCAAUUUCAUUAAAUCUCUUUAUAUUAUCAUACUAUUAUUAUGAUUUCACAAUUAGAGUCCAUAUGAAAUUAUUUUUGAGAGAUUUAAAGGUGAUUUUAAAAAGUUAAAAGUUAAUUUUAGCAUUUGAUAAAUUUUUUUAAAAAUCAUUUUCGACAAAAUCACCUUGUCCUAUGACCAAAGAGUAGCUUUUCAAAAUCUGAUUUUAAAAAUUAGUUUUAUACUUAAACAAUUUCGUAUAUAUCCUAAUAUAUGUUAUAAAAAUCCAAAAUUAUCUUUUAUUCAAUUAGGAAAUAAAAUCAUUACAUUUAAAGAAAUUAUUAUUAUAUUGAGAUAACAAAAUCAAUAUGGUUAAUUUGUUUUAGGUACGAAUUAUUCUAUAUGCACAUAAAAUAUUACUAUAUACACGUUAUUAUAAAAUAAAUGCAUGGGUAAAUAAAUUUUAUAACUUUAUGUCUAAUUAAGUCAUUUCUAUUCAUACAGUAAUUUAAAAACGAGACUUACCAAAUAUAAAUUACUACUUAACUAAUUUACAAAACGCCUUUAAAAAUAAAAUUUACCAAGCUUUGACUAAUUUUUUUUACAAUUUUUUAACAACUAAUUAUUUCUAUAUCACAACUAAUAACAAUUAUUUUAAAAACUAUAACAUUACCAUUCUAGUCAUAAAUCUAAAAAACGUUUGUAUGUAAUUGUUUACGAAACCUAUUAGUUAAUCACCAUGUGGCUGAUCGAACAUCAAUUAAUACAUAAAUCAUUGAGAUGACAGGCACGUCAAACAUAUAGUAAAAUCACUCAAAUUUGGUUCUGAAAUGCCGUAAGAGUACUAAAUAAAAUAACAAAGGAGGAUGAAAACACAGAGUCGCACCGGCUCUGUAUGCUUACAGCUUUGCUAAAAGUGCAUUUUGGCAAUGGCGUAAAGCAACCAGUUUUAUUUAGUCGAAAUUUUAUCUCCGAAUAUAGAAAUUCAACUGUCUCAAGAAGUCGAUUAUAUUUUCAGAAAUCUCUCAUGGCUCGCUCAGUUCCAGAAUCUGCAAAUAUAUCAACUUAUUAUUUAAAUCCAGACAGUUUGCAAAGAUCCAAAGUUCAUUUAUUCACAAAACUUAAAUUUCCUUUUAUAUGCCUAUUAUUAUUCACCUGUUUAUAUUGAUCACCAACUUACAAUCAAAAUCAAAUCAUUCAACCUCCCAAAUGAUACAUCAUCCAUAAGAAUUCAAGCCUCGGUACCAUGUAGGUCAAGGAAUAUUGCGCCAUAGCACAAAUUAUCAGGCACCGGAAUGAGUAACUGCUGUGCUGUUCAUAUAACCAGCCCUGUCAUGGGUUUAUGGUGAAUAAGUAUGUAAAACAACCCAAGUUUUUGGCCAUUCAUGAAU
rnacentral:lncRNA from 1 species